rnacentral:lncRNA from 1 species
AAAGAUUCGAUAUGACGGGGAAUCUGAAAAAUUUUGCAAAAUUUUCUGGGAACUAAACAAGACCCUUGUCUUGCGGUGCAUGCCACGAACGAAAUGACCAUUUCACACCAAAAACGCGCAUGGUCGGUUUGGAAUUGGAAGGCAUGACACAAACACCGUAGACGCGGACACAUGCAAAAAAACGCUGUCAUCGACGACGACUGUGUGAGAACUCGGAAUCGGCAUUUUUCAGUCCGAAGUGAUCAACUCUCAAAGUCUCGAGCCAUUUUCAUUUUGCAACCGAAACUAGUUGUACUAGAAUUGUACUAAAGAUUGUUUAGACUUGAGGGACGACAGCUGGUGCAUCGAUCGCCAUGACAUCGACAGGAGGAGACGGUAUUAGAACUUCAGAACGACUCUAGUGUUUAUUCAAUGUGUCUUCUUUUUCAAUCACUUUUGUGAGUUGAGUUACUAGUAUGAUGAUAAAGUAGACAUGUUGUUUUCAAAUCUUUUCUUGGGGGAUUCCGUAUGGGGCCUUGGAUAUUUCACCCAUUCAAAAAUAAAACAACAUGAUUUGCUUACAAAGGGAUAUCGCUCCAACAGUGCCGUGACAUGAUGAAAUAUGUCACCAGCACCAACCACGCCCCACCGUUUUUUUAGCAUUUUCUCCAACAUUUUCUGCUCACCACUACGAGACAAUAUACCAUCCGAAUAAAAUAAAAAAUAAGUUGUCUAACACAAUACUAUGGAUCAAAGUGUCACAUGUCAUUGUCCAAAGAAAAAAAAAAGAACAUGCCACAAACAAGCUAAUAUUGAACUUAUUAGGCGCUGAACAUUGCAGUUUCAUCUGUUCAAGGGCGAAUAGUGUGUCUCCAGCAAACUUUAUUAAGGUUACGGGUCGCUUUAAAACAAAGGACUUUUAGACACAAGAAUAUGAAGAAACAUAUAAUUGCAUGAAACUUAAAAAAAAUAUGAAUUUUUAGCCAAUUUUUUUUAGGAAUUCUUUUUAGGCACAAAUUGAAUUAUCUAGUAUGUAGUAUGGGAGCUGCUAUUGUCACAUGCCGGAUUUUUUAGGAAUUUUCAAGCAACAAUUUUACACGAUCAACUAGUAGAAUAAUUAAAAUAGUAACUCACAAGAGAUAAUUCAUAUUUUUUAUAAUUGCAUGUUGCCAUUCAUAACAAAAAGAAUCAGACACCUACAAUAUAGGAGAAGUGUAGAAAUAUAGACAUAAUGGAAAGUUUUUAUGCGUCUAACCUCGUGUUAGUUUUCCUCCAAAUUUUCUAUGGUAUUAUAAUAUCCCAUAGAAAUUCAAAGAAAGAAUUUGAUUAAUCCUUAUUUUUCUAAGAUUAAAACCCUCUAAAAAAACUCAUAUGUUUUUCCUUUGUUUUAAUAAACUGGCCUAAAUGCAGAAAGUUCCAAAUUUCCUCUCGUCGUUGAGAAAAGACAGAGAAGUUAAUCGUGUGUGUCAGUAUAUGGCAGUAAAUCACAAAUUGCCCGACAGUUUUCGCACUAGCCAUCGCUAACGCAAAGCAUCUACUCCUAUCUCCAUAUUAGAUAAUAAAUAUAUCCUUUCAAAAAAAGAUAAUAAAUAUAAAACGGGUGCUUAUAUAUAUACAAGGAAAAUGCAAAGGCACCAGCGCAUCAGCAUCACCACCACCCUCUCCUCAUCAACCGAGCCAGCGGCCACGGCCAGCCACGCCUCCUGCCUUCCACCCGUGUCCUCCCUGCAAACUGCAUGCGCGAAGCAGGUGAGACUUGACAGGAGCAGCCAGCCACGCCCCGCCCCACGCCACGCUCCCCAUGACGCCCUUUUAAGAGGAGGACGAGGAGGCGGUGGACCAGUUCGUUCGCGUUGCCCGCGACUCUCUCCGUCCUCCUACUGCCACCCGACUCGUCUCACACGCUUGGCGCGCGCGUGCUUCCACCCGUCCGUCGCUUCGAUUGGUUUGGUUGCCCCGGGCUCCAGCAAUGGCGGUGCAGGCGCAUUAUCACCACCACCACCACCACCACCACCGCGAGUCCCCUUUCCUCGUCAGGUACCUGCCGUCGUCGCCGCUGUACAUCUUCUAAUUGUUUCUUCCGCGUUGAUCGUCGGUCUGCUGGAUCGGAUUUGGGUGGGUGAUUUGAGCGUCUGGGUUGUCAGCAGCGGCGGCGGCACGCCGGAGAGCAGCCGGUUGGUGGCGGCGAUGGAGCUGCAUCAGGCGCAGAAGGAGGCGAUGGCGCCGCAGCAGGCUCCGCCCCUCUUCUUGGACUUCUCGCAUGGAGGUAACCAGAUCAAACAAAGCGCCCGCCUUGGCUCCGUAGAUUUCGUCUUCUUGGGUACCCUUCUGUUCUGCUUUUGGAUUUAUUAUUUGUUGGGAUGUUGCGUGCACGUAGAUUGCGGCGGCGGGAGGAAGCGGCAGCGCGAGGCGGAGUCCGUGUCGCCGCAGUUCUUCUCGCUGCAGCAGCAACCGGAGGCGCAGGCGCCCAAGUUGAUCAACCUGGCGCAACUGCACAAGCGGCCGGCGAUGGGCCUCCGGCUCGACUUCGACGAGGGCUCGGAGCACGUGUCGUGCACGUCCUCGGCCUCGGCGUCGUGUCUCCUCUCCGAAGAGCUCGCCGCGCAGCGCGAUCAGCACAAGAACGAGAUGGACCGGCUGAUCCAGGAACAUGUAAGGACCGCCCGCUUGAUCGAUUGCGUCGUUGCCGCCGCCGAUAUCGACCGGCCUCUGUUGCUGAUGGGCUCCUUCCUUGUCGCUUUGCAGGCGGAGAGGCUCCGGCGCGCGCUGGCCGACACCCGGCGGCGGCACUACCGUUCGCUGGUCGGCGCGGCGGAGGCGGCGGCUGCUCAGCGGAUAAGGGAGAAGGAGGCGGAGGCCUUGGAGGCCGCGCGGCGCGGCGCCGACCUGGAGGACCGCGUCGCGCGGCUGAGGGCGGAGGCGGAGGCGUGGCAGGCCAAGGCGCUCGCGGACCAGUCCACGGCCGCGGCGCUCCACGCGCAGCUGCAGCAGGCGUCUGCCGCGGCGCAGGCGAGGGGCAAGGCCGCCGAGGAAGAGGAGGACAACGCGGGGGGCGCCGCGGCGGACGACGCCGGGUCCUGCUUCGUCGACCCGGACAGGGUGGUGGAGAUCGCCCCGCCGCGCCCGCCGCCGGCCAGGCCGUGCCGGACGUGCAGGCAGCGCUCGGCCUCCGUCGUCCUGCUCCCGUGCCGCCACCUAUGCGUCUGCGCCGAGUGCGAACCCGCUGUCCCCGCCGCCGCCCCCUUCGCUGCCGGCGCCGGCGCCGUCGCGGCUGCCUGCCCCAUGUGCCGUGGCGCGGUCACCGGCACGGUGCAAGUGUUCUUCUCGUAGCAAGCAUUAGGAAAAAUGGGAAAAAGGUAAAAAAAAAAUCAAAAAACAAAACUGGUGCUCCUGCCGAAAGGAAUGGCCGGUGAAAAUGGGGAUUGAACGAUGGCAAAUUAUGUAGAGGGAAUCACAUCUUUCUCUGUUUUUUUAGUCAUUUGUUCAUUAUAAUCCUUCAAUUAGAGUACUACUAGUCAUUCUCCUGCUAUUGUAUUCUAGUAGUAGUUAUCUAGUACCAGUAGCAGGAUUAGGAUCCUGCUGUCUUUUGCCUUGUUCUUGUGGACUUCUGGAAGGCAAGCAAUAUGAUCGACCAUGGACCCAGUACUACGUACAUUUUGGUAGGCAAUGAUGUGCAAAUUUUCACUUUUUUACCGCCUGAUUAAUGACUUGUGCAGUACACAUCCGCGAGAAGGAUGAAGGUUUGCGUGGUCUCUGCCCUGGCCCUGCAGUUGCUGGUACCCUCCUACUCCACAGUGCAAAUGCGCCUUGGGGGCGAUGCGUUUAAAGGCGAGGCGCGGAUUCGCGUGAUGCGUAGUAGUGGUAGUGGCGGGAGACGCGGCCGGUCACGUGACGAUCGCCAGUCGCACUCGCCAAUCGUACUACGUGCCGCGCCGUGCGAUCCCGAUCGGGCGUACGGGCGCGCGUCGCGGCUGCCCUGUCGGUUGUUCGCCGCGCAGGGGCAGCAUGCAGCAUUCAUCAGUCAGAGUUGGAUGCGCGAUGGGGGUGCGCGGCGUGCGGUUGCAGGCUUGGGCAACAACAACAAUUGAUUUCGGCGCGAGCGCAACCGCAAGUCGGCAACCGCGCACGGCGGAUCGCAUGAUCGCAACCGGUCACGGGAUCUCGGGCUUUGGUGGGAAGUUGGGCCGCCGCGGGCCCACCCGCACUGAUGGGCUGAUUCAAUCAAAGUUAGUAGUACUAGUGGGGUCGGUGUCUGGCGGUGGGUGCCCACUGCCCCCCAGGGGCGGGGCGACCGUUGGUUCCCGCGCUUUCUGGCCUCUCCGCGCAGCAGUCGUCUGGCCGGCGGAUGGGUGGUGCGUGCGGCACCGUCGCACCGAUCCAGGAAGACUGCACGAGUUCUUGACCUUCCUGUCACACAACACUGUAGGGCGGUGUGCAAUUCCAUAUGCCCACACAACACACACACCCAGCACUCCAUCACAAGCAUGGCACCACGGCUGGCUUGCACUUUGAGGGGAAAAAAAAAAACGUCCUGCAGCUAUGCUAGCAGUCAGUGGCCGGUGGGAGGGAGGCAUCAAGCCGAAAUAUCCGAAGAGAUAGGAUUUGCGAGCCGCGGGUGUUGUGUUUCGUUUGCUUCUUGCAUUGAAGCGCCGCGCCGUUGGGACGAUGUGCGAGAACGAAAGCUAAAGCUAGCUAUACCGCACUUUGUUGUCCCUUUGUCUGAGGCUGCGGUAGUAUAUGCCAACGUCAACGUCUGCCUAGCCUAGCAAUUCCUUGGAUCUCUCUAAUGCUCAGUGCCUAGCAAUUCCUUGGAUCUCUCUAAUACUCAGUGCCUAGUAAUAAUUAAAUUAAAAAAAAAAUAAAGAAGCAAUUCCUUCUCCUUGGAGCGCAACCACAAGUCUUCACCGACUUGUGCUUGAGCGAUGCGAGCCUAGUGGGCGGCCCGCGUGCGUGUGUGUUCGGUGCUUCCGUCCGAGCGGUGGUGCCGGCCGGCGCCUUCCUUGUGCAGCUAUAUACCAGAUUACCGGUGCUCCGUGCUCCACUGCACGCGCGCAUGCCUCCUCACUCCUCAGUGCUCGGUCCUCUCGCUCGUUUCCCCCUGUCAGGUGCUGCCUGCGUUGCGUGAGAGAUAAGAUAACAAGUAAUUACAGUAGUUAUAUAUACGUCUUAUUUAGUUCAUCCCGAAAUCCAAAAAGUUUUUAAGAUUCUCCGUCACAUCGAAUCUUGCGGCACAUGCAUGAAGCAUUAAAUAUAGACGAAAACAAAAACUAAUUACACAGUUUGUCUGUAAAUCGCGAGACGAAUUUUUUAAUCCUACUUAGUUCAUGAUUAUUUAAUCAAAUAAAAACGAAAGUGCUACACUAACGAAAUUCGAAUUUUUUUUCGGAACUGAACAAGGCAAUAGUACGACAGGGGAGAUCAGUGACCCAAGUAAUGCCAGUAAACUCGUGUAACUGCCAGAGUAAUUGCUCAAGAUCUCCCACGUGUCUUUGUCUCGAGACAAUGUACGUACGUACUGUAUAUGGGGAGAGUGUACGGCACGGCAAAAGGCAACGCCAUGGACACACUCACACACACGACAAGGGCCGGCGCCUCGAAGAAGGAGUAUACCCACCAGGCCCGUUGGUGCUGGCCAGUUGGGCGAUGCAUCAUCUUUGGCCACGCCAACACGAUCGAGUCCAGACAAGCUAGCCGCCUACCCGUCGCCGCCCAGCUGAUGCAAGCAAGACCAGCACGAUACCAUAUGUAUAAUACGGGAUGGAGUAGGGUGGUACGCGCGCGUAUGACCGUAUGUGACUCGAUCGGGCUACGAUGUAUAGUGUUGCAGUAGAUAUGUAAUAGGAACCGUAGAAAAUAAAAGUGAACAGUAGUCCUUUAUUGAUGGACGAUCGGGAGAGUGGGAACGUGAAAGAAAACCCUCAUUAACGGUUACUAAUUAUCCACUAAUUGAUCACUUUAGAAUAUUAAGAAUAUUCUUAACAUAUUGGAGCAGGUAGCCGCCCGGGCAGGAGGGCAGGCGUAUACAGAUCGAGACGAACUACCGCAAACUCAAUCGGUUGCGUACGGCACCGUGCGCAGGGUUAUUAGGUGCGAUCGAUGUGCAAUGUACGACACGCAAAGCAUGCAAAACCCACCCGGCCAGAGGGAAAGGGCCGGGGGAUUCCAGCAUCCGGCGAUCUUAUCGCAUCGAUCAUUCUCGCAGGCAUACUGAUGACGGCGGUGGUGGACGGUUGAGAGGCGUCCCGCAGCAGCUAGCGGUCGCCAUCUCCGCUGGACGAUCCGAUGAUGCACUGCACUGCCCACUGAUGGGAGGCAAGCAAAAAAUGGUGUGCGGUGUGCCAAGCGCAUUCACAGCGGGCGGGAGUUGGAAUAAUCGUGACAGGAACCUCUGCACCGCGAUUCCGCGACCGACGGCUGGGACGGACGGACGUGGGACGCCCACCGGUCGUCACCCGGAGGCUGACGGGGUGGGCCCUCACCUCAGGCUGACGGAGUAGGUGUUUGGGUUUGGGUUUGGGUUUGGGUUUUGGUUGAUGAGAUCCAAUCCAAGAGCGGCUCAAGCACGCGACGACGAAUCGUUCGCCUCAAUGCCCUGCCGGCUUUGAGGUGUACACGUCCGUCGUCGUCGAAUGCUGCAGCCAGCAGCGCGCGCUUUGAGGUGUCAACGACAAGCGGCGUGACACCCCAAGCCCGUCGUGGACCUUGUGGACAAACGGCGUGACACUCCAUCGCGUUUCAUUUGUUUGGGCUCAGCGCAACGCAAAGUCGGCAAUCCAACAAACUCUCACCUACAACACUGAGAGCACGGAAAGGAGAGUUCUGAUAAGGGUUCUUUUUUUGUUUUCCUGGAUCGACAGCAGCGCCAUUAUCGCUAAAGCUUGUAGUAGAUGCUGCUGCUCUGCUCACGUUGCCUCCGGCAGCCCGGCUCGAACAAUGAAUCCACGACAAGCGGCCUUUCUUGGCAAGACGUACACGCUGAUGACACUGCAUGCAUGUGUAGGAGUAUAGUCUUCUCGUACAGAUGCGAUGCGAGGCACAUGAGUAAAUGACCACCCAUUACAUUUACGGGCCGGCCACGAUCCAGACCGAUCCCGGUACCUUUAUUACCCAACCCGGGUACCCUGAACUGAGGCCUUGUUUAGUUUGAGAAAAAUUUUGGAUUUCGCUACUGUAGCACUUUUGUUUGUUUGUGGCAAAUAUUAUCCAAUCAUAAACUAACUAGGAUCAAAAGAUUCGUCUCGCGAUUUACAGGUAAACUGCGUAAUUAGUUUUUGUUUUCGUCUAUAUUUAAUGCUUUAUGCAUGUGCCGCAAGAUUCGAUGUGACGGGGAAUCUUGAAAAUUUUUGGAAACUAAACAAGGCCGAACGAAAUUGAGGCCUUGUUUAGUUCCCAAAAUUUUUCGUUUUUGGCUACUGUAACACUUUUGUUCUUAUUUGAUAAACAUUGUCCAAUCACAGAGUAACUGGGCUUAAAAGAUUCAUCUCACAAAUACAAGUAAACUAUGUAAUUAGUUUUUAUUUUUGUCUAUAUUUAAUUCUCCAUGUAUGUGACCAAAGAUUCGAUGUGACGGAAAAUUUUGAAAAUUUUUGUGAACUAAACAAGACCUGACUGAAUUUUAAUGUACACUGCGCAACACGAGGAUGAUGCUGGUGGAGGUAAUUACAUCAUGCUCAGGCCCUGCCUGGACCCGGAACAGGCGGGUUUUCUGAAGAAAUGUUCGGCGAACUGUGCCAUCACCUCCUCCGACUCCAUUUCAUUUCCCGUUUUGCAACCAAAGGUUGGGCGACAAAGUGCCAGCUCAGCUGUGUGGGAGUAAGGUUUUCUGAAGAAAUGUUCAGCGAGAUUGUAGAGUACAGUAGUUUACACAGAUUAAUGUGCCAGACUGCUAGCAGCACAGCCAAGAGCCUCAAGACAUCAUCCUCCUCCUUCCUUCCUGCCUGUAAUGUGCUGCUCCCAGCCACUCAAGCAUCAAUUCCUCUCCCUCCUUUUUCUCUUGCUACAGCUACAGCUAGUGGCCCUUUCGAUCCGCAACUAUGAUAUCACGUUUGUUUGCAUAUCAGAGAGGAAAACGAAUAAGAACAAGAAAAAGAAAAAGAAAUGCAGCAGCUAACGCAUCGACAUUAUUGUUUGCGCGGUCCUCGGUGGAGAGCCGGACAGUUGUUUGAGACGGACAACAUGCAGUAUCGGUCAGACGAGGUAGGCCUCGGGCUCUUAAUGAUCUUUUUUUACGGUGAUGGUAGGAUACCACAAUGCAGCCACACAGGUUGAAGGAGAAAAAUCCAGGCACGCACAACUAACUGCAACGGUGGAUCGUUCGGCUGUUCCUGAGGUCGGUUCGCACUUCGCACUAGGAGGUUAGAGAAAAGACGCUGGCGGCGCCAUGGCAUUGGCGUCCAACCAACUGGCCCCCUUCCUUCUACCGGCUGCAAACUGACAGUGAAAACACAGCAGUGACAAAAGCACUGACGUUAAAUAUCGACACCAGUAAUCAUACUGCCAGUGAAGAGAAGGAACCCGGUCUGCCGAUAAGUGAUUAGCCCUGGCCACUAGAUAGAGAACCAGAGAUGAAACCAGAGCCGGCCGGCCGGGCAUCCCUUUUGUCAACGGAAUCGGGAACCGCUGAAAAUUACUGAUACCAAACUCCAAUCCACAUCCACCGCAAGCGUGGAUGGACGGACGGCUGAACGCUAUCUCGUGGAUGGAUCAUGGAUGGACGGACGGCUGAACGCUAUCUGUUUUGACCGCCACGCCAGGGAAUCAAAUGCGUGCACCAAGGAAGGAAGAGGUGAUGCAGCUCUUUCUCCGCCCAGACAGAAACGCCCGAGAUUCCACCUUCAGCUGGGCUACAACUACAAGUACUACAAGGGUGGCUUGGAGAUUGGGCAUCUCUUCCAGCCAGAUGCUGCUGCGAGGGUAAAAAUCCCACUGCGUGCGUCGUCAGUCGCCAGAACGCAUCCAAUAGACAGAUCGUGAAAGAGGCAACAAGCUGUAAACUAAUGGCCGGGCAAACUGGGCGUGGAAUUUCUAGAUCGACAGGUGGCCAGGCCGGCGCAGCAAACUUGACCAGAAAUCAAUCAACCAUCCACGUCGCCGGCCGGGGCACUUUCUAGUUUUCUUUCCUAUAGCUUGGAUCAGUGCAGUGCAGUGCAGCGUGCGCGCGGGGUCGUAGUGGUUUAGGCACGGGAAUGAUGCUCAUGCUUUGCUGGUUGCCCCCGACCACGAGAAGUGCAUGAAUGAUGAGCGCAGAGAUCGGGUACAGGAUGCGCUGCGCGUGUGAUUUUGAUCGAGAAGGGGUGGAAAUAGUGGACGGAUUUGGCUUUCUAUUAGGUCAACUUGUGUGGUUCGUUGUGCACUCAGCCGCAAGCUGAUGCGUGUGUUUUUGUUAGGUUAUUGUUAGGAGAAGACAUUUCGAGCGGUCGUGCAUGUGCAUGUGCAUCUUGCAAUCCAUUUUGUAUCAUAUCAUAUAUAAUAAUAUAUAUCACGAGAUGAUGUACGCAAAAAGAUAAAGAUGGAGGCUUUAACAAGUGACAGUUGGACCGAAUGCUGCUGUCUAUCUGUUAGCCGAAGACAUGGGCCUAAAGGGAGAAUGGAUGGACUAGAUGGGCCUUUAACCAAUAUAGGCACGCGGCCUAGGAGCUAGGACAGGUCCUUUCUCAAAAUGGGCUAAGAAACCCAGUCGACGCCAUAGAAAGCUCAUGGAGUAUUCUUUGAAGGAAGAAGUCCACUUUACGUCCCUCAACUUUCCCAAAAGUCUGAUUUUCAUCCCUAAACUUCAAAAUCGGGUAAAAUACAUCCCUCAAUUUUUGAAACCAUGCAUAUUACGUCCCUGACAUGGCUAUGAGCGGUUUUGAAGGCAGUUUUGUUUUUUUUAUUUUUAUUUAUUUUGGCUGAAUAUUUGUAAAAUUAUAGUAAAUCACAUAAAAUUCAUAAAAUAGUAAAUCUGAUUUUGUUGGACUCCAGAUAAGUAGAUCUACAUAGUGAACAUAUAAUAUAGUAUGCUUUAGUACAAAAUUUUUAUUGUAGCUUUAGAUCUGUGUUUUUCUAUAAUUAAUUAGAAUAAUUCAUAGCUAUAGUUUGUGUGGUCUAAUUGUGGUGAUUUUUUUAUGUUAGACUAAUUAUUAUAUGUUUAAACUAUGGUAAAAAUUUCAUACUCAUUAGAUCAUGUAUAACUUAGUUAUAGAUUUAUUAUAAUUUAACAAGCAUAAACCUAAAUAAAUCUAUAACUAAGUAAUACGUGAUUCAAUGAGUAUAAAAUUUUUACUAUAACUCAAACAUAGAAUAAUUAGCUCACCAUAUAAAUUUCAUCACAAUUGGACCAUAGAAAAUGUAGCUAUAAUUAGUCUAAUUAAUUACAGAAAAACAUAGAUCUAAAGAUGCAUCAAAAAGAUUUGUACUAGAACAUACUAUAUUAUAUAUUCAAUGUGUAGAUCUACUGAUCUAAAGUCCAACAAAAUUGAGUUUUUUAUUUUAUGAUUUUUAUGUGAUUUAUUGUGAUUUUUCAAAAAAUUCAGCCAAAAUAAAUAAAAAGAAAAAGGUAAAACCGCUUUCAAAACCAGGUCAAGGAUGUAAUGUGCACAGUUUAAAAGUUGAGGGAUGUAUUUUGUCCGGUUUUAAAGUUCAGGGACGAAAAUUAGACUUUCGCGAAAGUUGAGGGACGUAAAGUAGACUUUUUCCUUCUUUGAAUCAGGAUAGGCCUUCAUGACCAUUUCCUCCUGGUAGUAGAUAUAAAAAGAAAAAGUUGAGAACCAAACUUUUUUUGCAGAGUGCGGCUCAAGUAACGCACAAAGAACGCCAAAAGAGCUUGACCUGAGCAAUGCCGCAAUGCGUGCCAUAGAAAAAAAAACGGUACCGUCGUUUCACGGCCACCUGUUGCUGGGCCUGAAAAUGUAGCUCAUCUGUUGGAGCCUUUUUUUGCGCAUCGUUUUUGCGUCACUGUGAUGAGAGUCGUCGUUCCUGCCGGUCAGGCUCAAGCUCAUCAUGUAUUGUAUGUUAAUCUGCACGGUUAAUGACUUUGUUUAAGCAAUUCAUCCGACGUCAAGAUGACAAAUUAAGGUCUUCCUUUGACGUAUAGCCUAGUAAAAAAAGAUAGCAAAGAAUACUCCAUCACAAAUUAUACGUCUUUUUUUAUUUUUAUACGUUUUUUUACUGUGCAUUUAGAUAUAUGCUAUAUAUAUAUAUAUAUAUAUAUAAUAGAAACUAUAUAUGUAUCUAGAAGAACCUUAUAGUUUAGAAUGGAAGAAGUUGCUUCAUGUUUGGUUAAGUCCUUAUCGUUGCUUCUAUGAUCAUAAUUGUGUUAGGUUACCUUUAUUCAAUGGUAGAACUUGGUUCCCUUAUUGAAAAAAAGAUUACCUAUAAGAAGCGGAGCUAACACGUGAUUAUUGGUUGCCCAUGAAAACCGUUAAGUAGGCUUACACAAUGCUCAAAACAUGUCCAAUACUACGUAAGCUAGUACGCCACGAUAUUAGACAAUUCUAAAGAUGAAAGAGAAAUAAGUUCAAGAUUAGAUAUGGCUUGUUCACAUUCUACAACUAAAUUGUUUUUGUCAAGUGAUCAUAUUAGUAGCUAGUAGCUCUACUUCUAAUGUGGAGUAUGGGUGUUUUUUGUCACUACGAGUGUUGGAUCUCGACAUAGCUUGUAGGGUAGCUAAGGAUCGAUUCUUGGGAUAGUAAGCUUGAGUAACCACAUGUUGCGUAUGGGAGUGGUAAGCCAAGUUUGGUGGUGACUUGCCAAUUGUAGGAAUUCGGCUCUCGAUAUAGCGUGGCGUAACUUGAGGAGUACUUUUGCCCAUCUCCGAACCAUUCAUGGGUUAGAAAGACAUCUUGAGGAAAGGUCAAAACCUCGAGAGAAUCCUUACUCAGCACGGGUAUGGGGGUUCAUUCUUGGCCUCCGUGUCGACACAAUUGUACACCUAUGUAGAGUUCUUUUCGAAAGCUUGAAUUAUUUGGACGGAUUGUUUGGUUGUUCUUCCUUCUAGACUCAAUAUAGUGAGGGUAAUGAACUUGUGAAUAAGAUGGAAUGUUGAUCACUUAUUAUUUAUAUAUCUUUAAUACAUGUGAAUUGAUAAGUUAUAUUAACCUUCACGAGCAUGUCAUUUUGCAACAUAUGCCCUACUUUCUUUUCGCAAAUUACAGAUGUCCAUUAAUUCCCCUUGCAUCCACCAAAUAUUUAUGUUGGAAUAAGUCUUCUGAGUAUAACCAUACUCAUGGUACUCCCGUUAAGCAUGUUAUAGGUACUUCGAAGGUGACCACCCAAGACAAGCUUGGGUGAAGUCUAAGACAUAGUAGUUAUGGGGUGGGCGUCUCUCGAAGUUGCAUUUACUCUAAUGAUUAACGACCAAGAGUGAGAAACAAACUAGAACAACGGCUUAGGGUCGUAGUUGGGUUAUACUCAAUCCUGUACUUGGUAACUUAUAAUCAUAAAUGCAAUGUAAAGUUCUUUGAUUUUUUUUGAGUUGUAUGAUAAGUGAGGUACGUGGAUCUUGAUGAUUGUUUCGUGGAAUGUUCCUCUAUAAUUUGAUCCUACGGGUACAACUCACCUAGAGAGGUUUGCUGGUUGCAACUUUGUGGACCUCUGCAUGACGUAGAAGUUAGCACCACGUCAGUUGAGAGGAUGACUCGGAUGCUAGCUUGGUGGGCCAGGAAAGAACCCUCGCGGCUGUCGUUCCUCACACAAUAACAUUAGGUCAUCGUCAGUUGCCAACGCUUGACACUGAUUAGUGUUGCAGGUUCCCUUGUUGGUUCAAUCUAAUUGAUUGUUGAGGUAGAGACCUUUCUUCAUUUUUUUCUGCCUCCUGUAGACAAUUAUGAGAGUGAAGACUUCCUUGUUUGACAUUUUUAUAUGCUUCUAGGUUGUGCAGUUGUAUUGGUGCAUUCAACCUGAAGGUAAAUUGACCUCUGUCAAUACUUGUUGAAUACACAAAUCCAUCACCCAUGUAUUGGUACCAAUAACAAGGAGCUACAAAUCCAUACCACAUACCAUAAGUUUCUCACAUAGGAGAAGAUGAGGAUUGGCCAUGCCAUACUCAUGCUACUCCAGGUGGGCGAUCUUGGGAAGUUCAAGAGUGUGCUGCUGGCUAUGGAGAAGGGCAAUUUUGCCUCCUGAGGAGGGACACUGCCUGUGGAGAGAACUGUGGGCGAUGAGGGAAACCAAUGGAGAAUGUGCGUGUGUUGUAAGUGCGAGGAAGUUGGAGGAGCUAUUUUUAGCGCUUCACAUAUAUACUUGUUGUGGUCGAGAAUCAUGAAGCGAAGAGCUACCAAACAAGCUCUAAUGUUAUGCAUGAUUAUAUUUAAAUGAAAGUAAACUAGAUUUUUUUAUCUCUUUUAUUAUAGCUAGAUGCUUUCCCUUAUGUCUAUCAGGUUCUAGCACAUUAUUACGCCAUGAGUACUAGACCUGUCAUUCUAUUAUGAAUACUUGAAAUAUGAAUGAUUACCGAGUUAAGAAUUUUCAAUUAGUAUAAAAAUAGUUUAAAAUCAUAGUAUAAACUAUGCUAUGGAAAUCCAAAACUGGUCCAUCAAAGAGAAAUUGAAAGAAAAGUGAAAACUUUAUGAAAUAAACGAACAUAAAAAUUGUAUGAGGUACAAAGAAAAAAUGGUUGGUGGCUAAAAAAGAAAUUCCUGUUCUCAUAUAUCUUUAAUAAUAUGUAUUGGUUCUAAAAUAACUCUACAAUAUUAGAAAAGAAACAAAAUUUUACACCCAUGAAUAUGAAAAACAAAUUAUUUUCCUAAUAACGACUCUAAGAAUAUGUAACAUCCCAAAAAUUCACAUUCAAAAAUCACUCGCAUUAAAAAUUAUUUUCAAAAACUAUAAAAUAAUUUGAUCUCUAUAGUAUCUCCAUCUAAUCCAUCCAUAUUUUUUUUCGUGCAUAAAUAACAGCGAGUACCAGCAAGCUUACAUGCAAGAAAACAUAGCAGUGCACCUACACGAAUAUAUAUCUCAUGCAUGCAUGCAGGACAUGCCACCGUCCAUUUGCAUGCACCUGCAUGCAAGGACACGGUGAUUAGGCACCGUCUAUUUGCAUGCAACGUGCAUGCAAAUGGGACAUCGUCCUUCGCAUGAAAUUAGGCACCGACCAUGCGCUGCAGUAGCAUUUUUAAUGGCACGCAGCUGAGCGCUUUGGCCUAUAAAAAGCCAGCCUCGGGUGCUCACUCUCACCACCCGAGAAACACGUUCACUCACUCGCUCACUCGCUCUCACUUCGCGUAUACCGUAUACGGCCAUACGCAUAAGCCGAGCUCGACUGUCGUCGCAAGACGAGGUGAGCAGCUCAUGAGCAUCUCCUUGCUCUUUUCUGUCUUUCUGUAGUAUUUUUCUAUAUUUUUCUUUGUAUUUGUCUGUACCGAUUCACUGCCAAGAACUCCACGAAUAGAACCAUGACAUACAGAAGAGCUCUAAUGACCCCUGCUAAUUUCUCUCUAACCAUGCAUGUGUGGGCCAUAAGCAUUAACUCCACCAAAUAGUACAUGCAUGCAUGCACUACCAGCCAAGCAAAUGCCCACGUGAAGCAUCCAUUUCUUAAUCAUCGUUAGCCCUUUUCGCAUGAUUAAAUUCUGGCCAUUUCACAAAUACCAUAUGCUAACUCUGAUUUUAAUAAUUCUUUUUCCUAAAUUCAUCUAAAAUCAUGACCUACCUCCCAUAUUAAUUUCAUAAUUUUUGGAGCUCAUUUGAAUUUAUAUGAUUAUUUGUCUGUGCCUGUUGUCUGUGUCGUUCGUCGCGUAUUUUAGCUGACGGAGUGAACGAGCCGGAAAACGAGAACGUUGGAAACGAGUACCGCGAGUUUGACGCCGAGGACCCGGACUGUCAGCAGGAGUUUGCCGAGGACGCCGACGGAGGCAAGUCCAACCGAUCCCCUUUGAUGCAUAUUGAUCCUAUUUUUAAACACAACCCGUAGAAGCCGUUUUAAAUAUUGCAUGUACAAUAUAUGUACGAAGUAUUUUCGCUGCUUAGUUAAAACCUGUUGAAUAACAAUCCUUGAAUUGAUAUUACCCGGUAAUUGUCUUGUUCGAACCUAGGAACAAAUAAUAUGCUAUGAUAGAAAUAUUAUUAUUUAGUAUGCUUAGGAUUUGUUACUCAUCCUGGAUACUCAUCGCUAUAUUUUAUUAAAUAUAAUGAUUUUAAAAGUAAAAGGUGUGAGUGGUGAAAAUAAAUUGUGGGUAUUGUGAAAGGGUUAAUGAACAAGUUAUAGAUGUGAUUACUAUGGAGAUGGGGCGGAUGGGAUCUCUUUUGGAGAUGCCCUGGUGUUGUGGCUUAUACCUUGCGGGGUUAAGCGUGAAGAUAUCCGCCUUGUCUCGAUUAAGGACUGAGUUGAUGAUUCAUCUUGCCUAACUCAUUUAUCGUACAACCACUCGCCUUGCAUGGGAAAGGCUUAGUCUAAAUCCCUCUAGUUAGUAUGGUAAUCACCUGGAGGCAGGUGUGCAACGGGACACUAAGUGAUGUAUGUGAAAUUGUGGAAAUAUAUGAAAAGAGCUUUGUGAAUUAUUGUGGUAUCAUGAGAUGUGGACUUAGUGUUCCCGUGGUGAGCGCCAUUACUUAGCUAUGGAGGGUAAUGACUUUGAUGGAUCUGUGCUUGCACGACGGUGUAAGUUAUAGUAUCCUACUUGUGGGAAAAGUGUACAACCUCUGCAGAGUGUAAUCUAUCUGGAUAGCCGUGUCCGCGGUCUCGGACGGGUUAUGGUUUGGUUUCAACAACUAGAUGGGAUGGUAUGAGUGAAAACAUGAGAGUGAGUGUGAUUUUGAAAAUAAAUGGUUGACUGCCAUUGGGUUGUGGGAACAAGGGUUCAACAACACUUAAAAUUGUGAUUAAACCCCCAUUUUUAGAAAUACUAUCAUAUGUGGAAAAGGAGCUCUUUUACAACAGUAUUUGUGAAAUGAAACCUUGCAUGUGUAAAAAGAUAGCUUUAUGCAAAUAAAACUAAGCCUCAUCCUUGAUUUAACCAUAUGCAUAUAUACUGUUAUCCCCUUCCGUAGGGUAAAGUUGGAUUUGCUGAGUACUUUGUACUCACCCUGCUUUAUUAAACAGAGGAAGAUCCGGACUUCGAUCCCGAAGUGACGUUCGAGUAAGGUCGUGUCUGCACCCAACUAAGCCUGUGGCAUUGGGACUCGUCAGAUGUUCGAUGGCGAUAUCGUUUGUUUCUGGGUCCUUUGGACCUGUGUUGUAUUUUGGUGUCUUAUUAUUAUAGCGUGCCUUCCUUGUCCACGCUUUCCAAGACUACUGCGCUGAAACUUAUCUGAUGUAAUAAAUGUGUUACUAGCCUCCUGGGACUAGUAUUGUAUCACAUUUGAGUUCCUGGUUUACCAGGGGCGCUUCAGAAUACAUCAUACAAAAAAUGACAAAUUAAAAAACAUAGGAUGAAAAAUAUAAAAUAGAAAAUUGUAAGGCGAAUGACGCAAGAAAAGAAAAAAAGGACGAAUAGAUCAUGGAGUAUAGCCAAAUCUAUACUAUACUCCUAUAGCUGGAGGUAGCGCCUCCUCUCACAGAUCACUGUUUGUGAACAAUUCUCUCUCACAAAACACUGUUCUGGUACCAGUAAACCCGUUAAAGAACAGUAAAAGUCCGUUAAGUAACAGUGAACCCGUUAACAGAACAGUACAAAUCCAUUACUACCCGAUAAAAAACAAUAAACCUUGUCUAGAAACAGUUACACCCGUUACUAAAUAUUUACGGGUUCCGAACAUAACGGGUUAAAAAACCCCGUUUACUGCUCCGUGCGAAAGCACGGGGCACCUGCUAGUUCUAUAAUAUGAGGUAGAAAAACACACCCUGCCUUUGCUAUGGUCACCAUCAUUAUGAGAACAUCACUCUUAAAUAAUAAGACUUAAAAUUAUCAUGUAUUUUGUCCCUGCCGCAAGGCGUGUUGUAGCAUUAUCCGUUCAUGUUGCGAUGCACGAACGUGAUCUAUCUAGUAAAAGAAAUUGUGAUUAGGUUUAAACGCGGAUGGAAACCUGAGUCGACGGCUCCCGUGUUUGCUAGCGCCGGUGCCAGACAACGGCAACAGAACAGGUGUCCCUCGGCUGGGCGGGCGAGGUGGCGCCGUGGCACGCCGCACCCGAUGUCCUGGACACAUGAGGUCAGAACUCAGGAAAUAAUGGAGUCCUGUGGAGCCGAGACACACCACGCAGGAGCUCGUCGUGCCGGGCCGCCGCCCGCCCGCGCCGCCACCUUUGCGUGCUCGGGGGGAUAAAGCGGAGGAUCUCGUCGCGUCCACCCUCCUGGCGCCGUACGGAGGACCCCAUCAACCGGCGUGAGUGCGCGACGGUGCUACUAGCGGUGUAACCAGAAAUUAUGCAUAGGGGAGAUCAACUAAAAAUUCAACUAAUCAAAACUAGUGAUCAUUUAGCUUAAUUUAUCGACUUGAUAUAGGUGCUCACAGUAUAUGUAUUUUAGGAUCAAAUGUGUUAUUAUUUUGGUGGUAGACGAUAAAUCCUUAAUAGCAAGAUGUUUGAGAUAGUUUUGUAAACCUUAAGAUCUGCGUCUCAGUUUUUCUAAGGUGCUUCAUUGUAUUAUCUAGUUAUUUGUACUUCCUUCAUCCCAAAUUAUAAAUCAUUUUAAGAAUCUUAGAGAAUCAAAGUAUCACAAGUUGGACCAAAAUUAUAUAAAAACUAUAAAGAUUUAUAUCACAAAUAGAUAUACUAAAAAAUAUAAUUAAUGAAGAACCUAAUGAUACUUAGUUGGUAUCAUAAAUAAUUAAAUAUUAUUAUCUUAUCAUAUAAAUUUAGUUAAAUUUGGGAUACUUUGACUCUCUAAAUUUUUUAGAAUGACUUAUAAUUUAAAAUAGAGGGAGUAUGAUUUUAUUAUCUAGAUGAUAUUAAUAAGUAUAUAUGACAACAUUAUUAUAUUUUUUAAUAUAAAUAAAAACCAUUAAUUUAUACUAGUAAAAAAUUUUGUUAACAAAUGUUUAGGGGGCCAUGGCCCCUGCCACCCCCCCGGCUCCGCCACUGCGUGCUACCCACCAAAUAACACCACGCCACGCUGCCAUCCCCCGGCUCCGCCACUGCGUGCUACCCACCAAAUAAGAGCAUCUCCAAGAGUUUGCUAUUUUUUACUUGGCAAAUCUUGUAUUUUGCCAACUCCUAAAACAAAAUACCAAGUGAAAAAAGAGACUAUUUCCAAGAGUUUGCUAUUCUUGACUUGCCAUAACCAAAAAUAGAAGGCCCACAAGAUUUUUUUUUUACCGAUCAAGCUGUUGUCGUAGAAUCAGCGAGAUUGAUGCCACCGCCGCGUCGUCCUUCCUAUGCUGCACGUGAAGGUUCCCUCUCCCAGCAAUUAUCUCCACCGCCGGCCAUCUCCCCAAGCAGCCACGUACCUGAUUAGAUCAAGGGCAUCACGCAGCAGCAGGAGCCGUCGGGGCAGAGGCCGGCCUUGCGCGCGUGAACUGAUGAGAUGACUCACGCAGCAGCCGUUGGGGAGGAGGCCGGCCUUGCGCCGUGAAUUGAUGAGAUGGUAAACGCAACAGCCGUCGAGGAGGAGGCCGGCCCUGCGCACGUGAACCAGAUGGCUGUGUGCGGAUCCGAUCUCGCAGGAGGAAGACGACGAAGUUUCCGGCGCGCGGGAAGGAGCCGCUACGGAACGGGAUACUACGAUGCGCGGUCAAUAUGCGCGCGCAUAUAUGCGCGUGCGGAGGGGAAGAAUGGCAACUUGCUAAAAUUGCCAAGUUAAUUUACCAAUCUGUUGGAGACUACAAUUUUUUGUUUUGUCAAAUUUUUAAGAAUAGCAAUCUCAUUUGGUAAACUCUUGGAGAUGCUCAGCGGUCUCAUGUAUGCCGACGUGCCGUGUGUCACCGUGUUGUUAGAAGUUUAGAACCAAUUCGUUAAGCACUUUUUGCAAUAUUUUACGCACACACGUCUACCGAACUGCAAUAUUUAAUCUGCAAUUAACAACUCUAAUUGCGUAUUGCCAUUCAUCCAGCAGAUCCAGCUGUGGCCUCUCUCGUGCGUGCUGGACGAUCGAGUCACUUCCUAAACUGCCACGUCCCCGAAGAGCACCACCGAUGAUCCCGACGGCUUACGUAAAUCGCGGGCCCAGGUAAGAUCCGUAGAUACCCCCGACGCGCGAGGGCAUUCCGGGCAUUAGCCGCGCCACCUGCGUGUUCUAGCGAUCUCCUCCGCCUCCCUACUCCUCCCCCUUUCUCCUCGACUCGUCCAAGACAAAAAAACCGUCUGCCCUGCCUGUGGGCUGUCUGCUGUGUUGCUAUAGCCCAGUCUUCUCUCUCUCACGCGGCACGCGAGCAAGGGGACCGACAGCCGGAGCGCUCCUCAGCCCCUCCGCACCUUCGGGUCUCGCGGUGGCGGCGCCGGCGGGCGCUGCCGAUCGCCGGCGGCGGCCGAGAUGUUGGAGGACCAGGUCGCCUUCCUGCUGCAGAAGUACCUCGGCAACUACGUCCGGGGGCUCAGCAAGGAGGCGCUGAAGAUCAGCGUCUGGAGAGGUCAGUCAGGACGACUCGCCGCCACUUCCCCUCUUAUCUGCCCGUCGCUGCCGCUUUGAUUAAUCCGACUCCUGCUGUGAUCACACUGGCAGUUUGGGGGGUUAGUUUACAUUUUUUAUCUUAAAAUUUGCUGCGUGAGUGCUGAUCAAUUGAUAACGUUGAGGAGUUCAGUCUGAGCGUGGGUUGUGCUAUAUGCUAUAUACGUGGUGGUUGCAUUGGAUGGGGGCUAACGACAACAAUUUGAGCUAGUUAUGUCAGGGACAGAAGUGGGAUUAGUGAAUUUGAUGAAUCUGCGACUCUCCAGUGUUGGUUCCUCUGUGAUUGCAGAACUGUUUUAGCUAUGCUUGUUCCUAAGAGGUUCUAGUUUCAGUGCUCAGAGAAUUACGGAGCUGACUUGGUGACACAUUGUUGUGGGCAUUCAGGUGUGAGACUGCAUGCUUGUUUCUGAGCGUUUUUUUACCAGCAAUCCUCAGUGUCUAGAUGUCAUCAGCCAUGAAGCAUGUCUCCAAGCAAAUCAGCAUUUUGUAAAUUUGGCUUAGAAAUUUGUCAGCAGAAGGGCUAGAGAGCUGUGGUUAUCUGUGAAUUUUUUCACACUGCUAGCUCAUAAGGUCACAGAAUUAGGAAAGCACUCUGCUCGGAGUGAAGUAUUUGGAUCCCUGAAUAUGGAAAUUGCUGUUAAAGAGAAACAUAUCAUUAGGUAACCAAUAUAAAGCUGGAGAUGCAAGCAGUAUCUCCUUGUGUGUGGACUGUUCACACAAAGUAACUGUAACUGGAGUGUGCUGUGGGCCACUGACUUUCUUGAAUACUCUCACAAAAUUUGUUAAGUAAAUGAUCAGGUAGUCAAGGGUUUUCUGAUCUUGAAAAAAGGAGCUUUGCCUCAUUCACAGUGAUAAGCUGAUCACCCGAAUAUGCUGAUUGUCUGAAGUCUGGACUGUGAUUGAAAAUGGAGCAUGAUGACUCUGGAGAGAUAAAAACAUACUAUACAUUGUUUUCUUGGUCCUGACUGUUUAUAAGAGCUUUUCAGAAUUCAGAUUCAUGUUAGGCACUGAUGAUAUGGAAGCCCAGAGGACAAAAUGACACCUGUAGUUGCGGUAGUUUCUGAGCAGAAGAAUAUUUUCUUCUCUGAUCAAUUCUUUUGUUUUAAAUUAGCAAAUUUGUGAGAUGGGAGCAUAAAUGGCUUCCCAACCUUAACUGACAAAAGUAAACACAGCAAUGUUGGCAGCAGUGUUUUCAAUUGAAAUUUUGGAGGAAUUCACAUAGCAAGUGAUUUGCCCAGGGGUGUACAUGAGUGCCUAGUCUUGAUCAGACAUCUACAUCAAUUGUUGGAUGUUAGAUGGCAAGUUCAUUUGAAUUAAGGUGCAUGUGGCUUCGACAUUUGGUGAGAGCAUAGGAGGAAUCUAUAACUUGUAAUGGUAGUCUUGUCAUGAGAAGUGUAUGAGCUGUUGGUAGGCAUCAGCUGGCUUUUGUGCCAGUGGUUUCAGGGCACGAGUAAGGGAACUCAGGUCAUGUGCAGAACAAUUCUGGGUAUUUGAUUAAACUAACAUUUGGUUUCAUGAUGACAUCAAAAUGCAAUGUGGUCCAUGGUAUUUAGUGAAGUUAUUAGCUGGAGCUUGAAGAUACCCACAUUCAUGUGUGCACAUGCACGAGGGGAUCAGGGGGGACACAAUUUUCUUGCCCCAGCUAUUGACCAUUUUUUAAUCAUUGGCACGUCUUCUAUUACCUAAUGAUGUUCUGUUUUCUGAAACAUUGUUUCAGGUGAUGUAGAGCUCACAAACAUGCAACUGAAGCCAGAAGCGCUCAAUUCAUUGAAAUUACCUGUUAGAGUCAAAGCAGGUUUUCUUGGUUCUGUGAAGCUCAAGGUUUGGAGUAGUAAUUUCUUUGGUUUAGUACAUAUAGUCAUCAUAUACUGAAUUUGUUUUCUGUAAUACGGAGGAAUGGGUUCAAGGAUGUCUGUGUCUAUGAUUGUUAGGUUCCAUGGAGCAGGUUGGGACAAGAGCCAGUUUUGGUUUAUCUUGAUCGGAUUUUUAUACUAGCUGAACCAGCAACACAAGUUGAAGGUUGCAGUGAGGAUGCUGUCCAGGAAGCAAAAAGAAGUCGAGUUAGGGUAAUAAAUUUCUGAUGACAGCUAAGUGAUUUUUGCAAUUAAUGUUGGAUCCAUGCACAUACUGAUUUUUUGGUUUACACAGGAAAUGGAGAUCAAAUUGUUGGAGCGCCAACAGCAACUGAAAUCUGAACUAGUAUGUCACAGUACUGUUUCUAUGUGUAAUUGGGAUAGUCAACCUUCCCUAUAUUUUUUACCUGCUGUCUUGUGGUUUAGAUCCGACCAUCUUAGAUACUUUUUUCAUUUCUCACUGCGAUUUUCCUUUUUUGUGGAAGAAUUCAUCAUGGCUUGGGUCUUUCAUUGGCACUGUUAUUGGAAAUAUCAAGUUAUCCAUUGGCAAUAUUCAUAUUAGAUACGAAGACGUAGAGAGGUAAUUCAGUUCUCCUCAGUGGUUUAUCCUUCGGGCUGCAUAUUUUUAAGGAGUAUAAGAACACUGUGACCUGUUUCCUGUAGCAAUCCUGGCCACCCUUUCGCAGCAGGUCUGGUACUUUCAAAGCUUUCAGCAGUUACAGUGGACGACUUUGGCAAGGAGACUUUCGCCACAGGUGGUGAUUUGGAUCGAGUGAAAAAGGUACAUUGUUCCUGCAUUUUGUUUCCACAGUUAAUUUGAUAUUAGUCAUGGCUGCUGUCAACUUCUGGGAGUCCAGUUCUGGUUUUUGUGAUCCACGUAGGAAGGAAAGUGAGUACACGAGGAAAUACCAUUUCCUCUGGCAAUUCCUUGAUAAAUCUAUCUUCCAUCUCCAAGAGAUGGUGAUUGUUUGUUCUUUUGCGUAGCCGAAUAUUAGGCUCAAAAGUAAAAAACAACAACAAUAGUUCACUUUUUUUCCUAAUUUUGGUGGCCAAUUAAUUUGACGUAAAGCUUUUUGGACCUAGUAGUGAAUUCUAUUCGCUUCAACAGUGAAUACAUUGAACAUUUGGCACCUUUGGUAUGCUUAUUUGUUUUAGUUUGACUCUCUCUCUCUCUCUCUCUUACUUUUGACUAACUUGCAUUACUUAAUUAACUUAUUUGGCAUUUUACAGUCUGUUGAACUUCAGAGUCUGGCGGUGUAUUUUGACUCUGAUAGCAGUCCUUGGAUUGUGGAUAAACCCUGGGAGGAUUUACUUCCAUCAGAGUGGAGUCAGGUACUUGUGUUUGUGUGCAAAUAAAUACCUGAGCUUGAGAGUAUAAAUCUGCAUGGAGACAAUUGUCUUUGGCAAUAUCUACCAGGAAAAAACAUGUGGUAGAAUGUGGAUAGCCGCGGUGCUGUAGUGAGGUUCUGGUGGGGUCUCUUUUUCUAAUGUUGCUUGCAUCCAGCAUCCUGACAAAUCUUUAUUGGUUUGUAAAAUGCAUUUCAGGUUUUUGAGUUUCAGGAGCAGGGCGGUUCCAGAUCUGCUUCAAAAAAGCAUGCCUACAUUUUACAACCUGUAUCUGGCAAAGCAAAAUAUACAAAGAUACAACUUACUGAGGCAAAGAAAACAGGACAAGCAUUGCAAAAUGCUGCAGUUGAUUUGGAUGAUGUUACUCUGUCGUUGUCAAAGGUUUGUACUCUUGUCUUCUCUCUCAGUUAUGAGUUAUGUCAAAAGCACUUUGAAAAGUAAUACCUUUUCCCUCAAACUAGGAUGGCUACAGGGACAUGUUAAAGAUGGCUGAUAAUUUCUCUACUUUCAAUCAACGGCUGAGAUAUGCUCAUCUCCGACCAUCUUUACCAGUAAAAUCGGAUCCACGAGCUUGGUGGAAGUACGCAUACAAGGUGGUGACUCAGGAAAUGAAGAAAGCAAGGUAUGUAUAUCUGCACAUUCUUCUUACUUCCAAUUCAUAUAUAGAUUCCAUGCAUUAUUUACUGGCAUGAAAAAGGUGCUCAGUUUUCUUUUUAAUAAUAAUUUUCUGGUUUCACUAUCCUUUAUCAUAGUUUGGGCUACCUAUAUAUGUAGACUGGAUUAAUGCUUGUUAUGUUUGCUUUAGCCUUUAGCCUAUCAUAAAUCCAAUGCACAUCCCAAUAUUUGUUUGAAUCAUGCUGUGGGAUAUUUGCUUGUCUUCUUUCUUUAUUUGGGUGGGGCUAUUGAUUUUCUUUGUAGUACUGUACCAUGUCAGUAGUGUUUAUGUAAGAAAAAAGAAAGCAAUUGAGCAGUGACAGGGGACUCACCAUUUGCCUGGCAACUGAUUUGAGGCUUUAUUCUUGUGUACUUUUCUCUUCAAUGUGUGUUCAAGUAGCAUCACUGAUAUUUCGUUUGACAGUGUUUCCUUUAACUUUGAUAUCAUCAAAUAUGUUCUCAUUUCAUGUGCCUUUAUGUCAGUCCAACCUUUGUUGAUUCUUUGAUGGUGAUGUAUCUAACUUAUGGAUGCAGUUGGAGUCUAUCUUGGGAGCAAUUAUUGAGAAAUGCAAGACUUCGGAAGGAGUAUGUAUCUUUAUAUGCAUCCCUCUUGAAAUCUGACAUGAGUCGACUGGUUGUUGAUGACAAUGAGGAGAUUAAGAGGCUGGACCGUGAACUUGAUAUGGAGGUUAUUCUACAGUGGAGGUGAUGUGCUUCUAUUUUUGUCCUCAGUACAGCAGUACAUCUCCGUGGGGAUUAUCCUGCAAAUAUUAAGUGAAAAGUGUUAAGGUAUAAUAGUCAAGGGCAAUAGGGUAACCACCCUAGUCUAGGAUUUCUCUCCUAUGUCCCUCAUGUACUCUAUAUAUAGUCCUCACUAGGCCUCAAUACCAUAAUCUAGUUGUGUCUCCCUUUAUUCAUGACAUGGUACCAACGCCCUAGGUUUUUUGAUCCUCCACCACCCUCGUCUCCGCUGUGCUACCCCCGGGAGGAUCAUCUGCUCCUGGGGGCAGCCUUCUAGAUUUUUUUUCAUCCUCUGGAUGGAUCUUCAGCGCCACCAUCACGGCCGGGUCUGGGAGUCUGCCCAUCGCAGACCACCCAUUGUCUCCAUGUUAUCCAUCACGAAAUCACCGUGCUUCCUCGUCAUCCGCUUGGCCUUCUUCUGUGUCGCCCUGUGUCCACACAGACUGUGCCCCUCGCACAGGUAGGUUACACUAAUACCCUUGACUAUUAUACCUUAACAAAAAGGCUGGUAGCAGCAUCCCAUGAUGAUCUGUACCAGAGAUUCCUAAAAGAGUGUGAUGUAGAGUUUGGGGAGGUUGCUAAAGUUUUGCCUUCACAAAUUCGUACAGGGUGACUUUAGGUUCGCAAAAGAAGUUCACCUUAUUGCACUGUUUUUUCCCACUUGCUCAGUUGCCCUUUCCCAUGAAAGACAGUGAACGCGCACUACAGUGCACUACAUAGGUUCAGCCUUUGAAGUUUGAAUACCCCCACCCCCACCUUCAGCCUUUCACAUUCGCUCUGCACAUUGAUAUUGGUCCAGCUUUUAACAUCCAUGUCACUGCUCUGCACACACCCUUUUCUUUCCUGACAAACAACAGUGAUAUGCACACUUAUUUCUCGUAAACUGCAUGUUCACCAUGUAUCCAAUCUGCACUCCACUUUAUGAAAUAUUAUUUUGCCCGUAACUGUGACAGAAGAUCUCUGAUUCUUGAGUAGGUCAUCCUUUUUUUUCCGCUCAAAUACGCAGAAGAUCUGUGUAUCAUUGCAUUAGGCCAUCCUUGCUUUUGAGCUUUUAUUUUUUGAGCUCAACAUGUAACAUUGUAUAGUUAGUCCCUUGAACAGAGCAUGUUCUUGAUUCUUCACAUCUUGAAUACACAUUGAACAACCUAUUAUGCCUCUUAUCUUCAUCCUUGAUUCUUGUCACAAUAGUUGGCAAAUGGACAUGAAUUUUGUAUGUAAUUCGAGAUUCAUGUGCAUACACCCUAUCAUUUAUGCUGAUGAUGAGUGCAGUUACCUUUAUUUGAUACAUACAAUCUUCUUAUUUUGUGUAGGAUGCUAGCUCACAAGUUUGUAGAACAGUCGGUGGAAACAUAUCAGUAUGCUCAACAAAAUAAGAAGCAGUCCUGGUGGUCAUUUGGAUGGUUGAUUUCUGGCAUAUAAAACCCUAUUGUUUCUAUAUUGUUAAAUAUGCUGCAAUUAAUCUGUCUUCAUAUAGGGCUGGCUCUUCAAAGGAUGAGGAAGAUUCAAAGAGUUUUACUGAUGAAGAUUGGGAAAGGUUAAAUCGGAUUAUUGGGUACAAAGAAACCAAUGAGUAUAUCCCUGAUCAACAGGAUAUGAAACUGAUGCAAUUUGAUUUUGAAAUACGUAUGAAACAUAAUGCAUCAAAGCUUACCAUUGAUGAUUCGGAGUUCCUUGCUGAUCUCUCGUGUCAAGAUUUCUGCUGCAACUUGAAAAUGUAUCCGGAGGCAAAAAUAUUUGAUCUGAAGCUGGGUUCCUACAGGCUUUUAUCUCCAUAUGGCCUUCUUGCCGAGGUUUCUGUGUCUGUUCAAUUUGCCUUUUACACUUAGUAACUAUGGUAGUCGCUGACAUGAUUCCGUGUUCUGUACGUUCUAGAGUGCAAGUGCCAUUGAUUCUUUUGUUGGUAUCUUCUCCUACAAACCUUUUGAUGAACAACUAGACUGGACUUUGACAGCUAAAGCUUCUCCUUGUUAUAUAACUGUAAGCUGCUAUCCUCAUCAUACCUUAGUGUGCAUACAUUUGCUCUACUAUUUGACAAUUUGAGUUUUUGUUCUUAUAGUAUUUAAAGGAUUCAGUUGAUCAAAUUGUUGGCUUCUUCAAGAGUAGCCCUACCAUUAGCCAAAACUUGGCACUAGAGACUGCUGUUGCUGUACAGGUAUCUAUGAGUGAAGUCGAUUUGAGGAAAGACUGUUUCAUGUGAUCAGAUGAUUGAUUGAUCAUUCUGUGUUGCUUUGUGAAGAUGACACUAGAUGAAGUGAAGCGGACUGCUCAACAGCAAAUGACUCGGGUGCUAAAAGAUCAGUCCAGGUUAGUGUAGUUUUUCCUCCAUUUUCAUAUUCUGAAAAAAAUAUUUUCAUGUGGGUUUUCCACCAUUCUCAUAUACUGAAGAAAUAUUUUGAUGAGGACAGAAUGGUACUGUAAAAAAAUUUCCAAGAAGCCCUAGAUUUCAUGGUAUAACCUGGGCAUUAUUAGCUUCCUUCGACUAAUAUUUUUUUUAUUUUGGUAAAAUAAAAAAAGCAACCACAGUAUCGUACUUAGUUAGAGCCUAUGCAGAAUAUUUAGCUGCAACAAGGGCACUAAAUAUUUUACUAGAAUUUCAACCUCAAAAGGAAUUUGAAAAAUGGGAUUGCGGUUUCCCCUGAAAUAAGGAUUAUUGUAACUUUGUCUAUACCAUGAAAAUUAUGCUGAUGUUGUUGGUUUGUAUUUGAGUUCAGAUAUCUACAUCAUUGCUUCUAUGCUAAAGCUACACUAAAGAAUUAGCUAUAUUUUCUUUUGUCAACCCCUUCUUCGACGCCGACUAAUGCGUAACAUAACCCCUAUUAGGUUUUCACUGAACAUGGAUAUUGCUGCUCCAAAAAUUACUGUUCCUACCAAGUUCCGACCAGAUGAUGUACAUGAGACUAAGCUUUUGCUUGACCUUGGAAAUUUAGUUCUUCGGACAGAGGUUGUGUCUUCUAUUUGCAAGUAAGAUUUUUAUAUCCAAGUGUUUGGUUUGUAUGCUACUAACGUCACUUUGUUUCUUCAGGAAAUAUGGGAUGCCUAUAGUUCAGAAGAGCAGGAUAUAUAUCUAAACUUCAAUUUGGUGCUUAGUGAUGUCUCUGCAUUUCUGGUGGAUGGUGAUUACCAUUGGAAUGAAACAUCUGAUGAAACAAACUUGUUGCCGGUAAUUGACAAGUGUGGCAUUGCUUUGAAGCUUCAGCAGGUAAACAAUACUCUGCCCAGACCUUUUUUUCCGGGUUUUGGGGUGGGGGGUCUAUUAAAUGUUAUCAUCAUGACAUGGGUUGCUGUUCCGUCUUUGGACAGAUCCAGUUAGAAAGUCCUCUCUAUCCUUCCACAAGACUGGCGAUACGGGUGCCUUCCCUAGGAUUUCAUUUCUCUCCUGCACGCUAUCAUCGUUUAAUGGAAAUUUUUAAAAUUUUUCAAGAUGGUGCUAGUGACAAUAGCAGUUCAGAUCAUGAACACUUGUGGGAUCAUGCUGACUUUGAAGGAUGGUCAUCUCUUCUCACAUGGAAGGUUUACACUCCUUUAUAAUUUACUCACUAAUGUUCCAUCAUUUUGGAAUUAUAUUCUUUCUCUAAACUAUUUUCAUGACCUGCUGUUAGGGGGUUGGAAACCGGGAAGCUGCUUGGCAACGCAGAUAUUUGCGUCUAGUGGGUCCAUUUCUCUAUGUAUUUGAAAAUUCAAUGUCAACAACAUACAAGCAAUGGUUCAGGUUAUGCACUUUCCUAUAGUUCUGAAUCCUAAGUUACUGUCAAGUUUGGAGCUUAUAGUGUCACGUUCCACGCCUAGAAUAGACUGCUUGGCCAUAUGUUCAAAGGUCUGGCAUCACUGUAGCUUUUGCUGGGAUAGCUGGAUAUGGACAGUAGGUGUGGAAUGCUUGAGGUCCAAGGAAGGCCCAGCAGAGGACACAGCUGAGGGUGUGGCACGUUCAUUCUAAAUGGCUGGCCCACCAUUUGAAACUUGAAUCUCACUCUACUCCUGGGGUGCCUCAUUGGAGCUGCACCUCAGCGGAGUAAUGUCAUGUGAUUAUAUGAAUGGUUUAUGUUUAUUUUUUGCAUUUUAAUGUGCCAGGACACUUGUUUUAACACCUUUGUGUUGAGGUGCAGUUUACGUGGGAAACAAGUUCAUCAGGUACCUACUGAGCUUACAAAUGGCGUGCAUAACAUCCUGGCGCUUCAUGAUUCUGGCCAAGUUAAUCCCAAGGAACGGUCUAGUGGCACUUCAUAACAUUCUGCUCUACUUCAGUUCCCCUGGCGUAAUUGAUUAUCUCAAUAAACUUUAUUCUUUUACAGAUUCUGGAAGACACUGGUGCUUUAAUUUUGUUGUUUGAUAAUGACGAGGGACGAAAGAUAUGGCAGAGCCGUUUACAGGGUGCUAUAUACCGUGCAUCGGUACUCCUUGUUUUGUUUCUUUCUUUUUGGUCAAUUUUUCAUUACAUAUCUAUCUUCUGUUGGCAUCCAUAGAAUUAUUAGUCUGCUUUUAGGGUUCUGCUGCAAUUUCAAGCUUUCCUGGAGUUGCUCUCCCAUCAGAGGCCCACUCAUUCAAAGGCAGCUUUCCUGAUGUUGCUGACACAGAGAAAUUAUUUGUUGCUGGCAUUCUUGAUGAAUUAAAGAUAUGUUUUUCAUGUGGCUAUGAGGUAUUUGUUUCUCGCCUAAUUUUCUUUGUUUCCUUGAUUCAAUGUUUUUGAUGCAACUCAUGCUUCUGUAGAGUAACCACAAACUAAAAAAAGUUCUGCUAGCCAAGGAGAGCAGCCUGUUUGAAUUUCGGGCAGUUGGUGGCCAGGUAUCGAUCUUUUCUUUUGUGUGGUCCUUGCUUUGUGACUCUUAUUAACAUAUGUUUUUUUUUUUGGGGGGGGGGGGGGAUAAACAGGUUGAACUCUCAAUGAAAGGUGGCAAUUUACUGAUAGGAACUAUUUUGGGGUCACUGGAAAUUGAAGACCAGUUUUACUACCCAGGGAGUCCUGUGCCAAGGUUCUUGGCAAGGUCUUUUAUCAAUAGCAUGCAAACCCAAGAAUUCCCAUCUCCUAGUCGAAAGAACAGUGCAGGACCUAGAGGCACCCAAUUGAAGAAAAAUGACAGCGAGGAAAACUUUUUCGAGGCAUCAGAUGAUUUUGAUGAAUUUGAAACACCUAUGCAUCAAGAGAGGACUAUAUCAGACUAUUUUAGCACCCAGAACUUUUUGCCUACUAGUGCUCCUUCCCUACAGCCGCCAACAUUUGAUCGAAUUCCUGAUUUGAUACCAGACACUGAACUUCAAACUGGGGGAUUCACAUUGGAAGGUAGUGGCACUUUCGAUAGUUUUGUGAAAUCUCAGAUAGUGAUUUAUGAUCAACAUUCCCCCCAGUACAACAGUGUGGACAACAGGGUAAAUAUCUCAAAAAUCUCAUUACAUAAUAUCGUUAUGGUUUCUGCAUAGGUACAUCUAUUCCUCCUAGUGCCUUGGACAUGCUUAGGUUUUGUGUAUAGAUGUAGUUAUUCUUCCUAGUCCUUGAUCAUGUGUGAUAUUUCAUAUUUUCUUUGUUUUACCAGGUAGUUGUAACUGUUUCCACUUUAUCGUUCUUUUGCCAUCGUCCAACUGUUAUUGCAAUCAUGGAAUUUAUGAAUGCCAUCAACCUUGCAAACGGGUCUGAUACUGAUAAAGAUAAAAACACAUAUCCUGCUACUGUAGAAGAUGGUACAAUUGAGGAAUCUAAGUCUGAUCUGGAACCAGAACCAACCAUAAAACGGUUACUGGCUAAAGGUAAAAGCAGAAUAGUUUUUCAUCUUACAUCCAGCAUGGCAGAGGCACAGAUAUUACUGAUGAAUGAGAAUGGCGAUCGGCUCGCUACUUUAUCACAAAAUAACCUCUCCACUGAUAUAAAGGUAAUGUGAUCAUCUCUAGUUUGUGUGGUCUAUUUUGGCUUGAUUUGUUUAAUGCCCUGAAUGGGUCUGACUAUCUUUGUGAAUUACUCAAGGUGUUCACAUCGUCAUUCAGCAUAAAGGCUGCACUCGGAAAUCUUAAAAUAAGUGAUGAUAGCCUUCUUAGCAGCCACCCUUAUUUUUGGGUUUGUGAUAUGCGAAAUCCUGGAGGUCGUUCAUUUGUGGAGGUAUUCCAUGUUGUUUGAAUUUACUUGCUUAAUGUAGGUCAUAAUUUGUUAUGCUUUUGUCGGUUCUAGAAAAGAAACCUUUUAUGAAUCACAGAAGAAUAAUCAAUUUCGAAAUCAUUGUGCAGAUUGACUUUAGUUCAUACAAUGUUGGUGAUGAAGACUAUUGUGGUUAUGACUAUAGCCUUGUAGGGCAGCUUUCAGAAGUUAGAAUUGUUUACCUGAACCGUUUUGUUCAAGAGGUAUGAUGUUUCCAGCUUAUAUAGUUUCUUAAUCCUGCAAAUGGUUUAAUCUUUCUCUCUCCCUCCCUUCUUCUCUUGGUGUGUGUAGAUUAUCAGCUAUUUUAUGGGACUUGUCCCAAAAAGUUCUGACUCCAUUGUAAAGCUGAAAGAUGAGGAGACUAACUCAGAGAAGUGGGUUAGCAAAACUGAUAUGGAAGGAUCACCUGCUCUCAAAUUGGAUAUUUCAUUCAGCAGGCCUAUAAUUGUUAUGCCCCGUGAAACUGAUAGUAAUGAGUAAGGAUGCUUUUGUGUCUCUGAAUAUGGUUUGUUCAUGUACUUGUAUCAUGUCUUGAGGACGAUCACUUCGCUUUGCAGCUUUUUGGAGCUUGAUGUUCUAUACAUUACAGUCCAAAAUGAAUUCCAGUGGAUAGGUGGUGAUAAGAAUGAGAUGAGCGCUGUUCACUUAGACAUUUUAACAGUUACAGUAAGUUCACUUUGUCAGCAUGUUGUCUUUUUAAUUGGGAAACCUGCUAAAUCAUAUUUAUUUAUUAUAAGAAUAAAUGGGGAUUAACUUGGAUACUGGGAAAUAGUCUCCAUCAUCAUAUCAUUAGAUGAUCUUGUUCAAAUGGUCUACAUCUUGGAGGAGCUGCUCCAUGUAACUUACUCCCUCCGUCCUUGAUUUAGAGGCGUACUAGAGUUUUUCACUAGAUUAGUGCAGUUUGUUUUGAACAAAUCUAGGCCAUUAUGAUCUUAUUUGCUGAACACAAGAUAGCAAAUCUUCAUAAUGCAAAGUAGUGACAGGCUUUUGACUGCAGCUUAUAAUAGGCAUGACUUGGGCUUGCAGGAAAUCUAAGCCAAGUUUGUACCAUGUUGAACUUGUAUGAUUUAGUAGGGAAACAAAUGCUUUUGCACAUUUUAUUCCUCAUUACAGUGUCUUGUUACCUUGCUUAGAAUCAUUCUUACAGCAUGAUUAUACUUUCCUUUGUAGGUACGGGACAUAAAUUUAGUUAUUGGUAUGAAUAUGGUACGUGGUGAAACCAUAAUUCAAGAUGUGGAAGGUCUCUCCUUUGAACUUCGUAGAUCAUUGCGUGAUCUGAGACAUCAGUUGCCAGCAGUGGAGGCAGCAAUUAAGGUAGCACAUUUUUCUGUGAAUGCAUUUUGAUUGAAGGUCCCUGGUUAGAUUAUUUACUUUUCUUGUAGCAGCAUUGAGAUACUCAUUUAUUUUAUCUCAUAGGUGGAUGUUUUGAAAGCAGCACUAUCCAAUCGAGAAUAUGAAAUUAUAUCUGAAUGUGCAUUGUCUAACUUCUCUGAGACACCACAUCCUGUGCCUACUCUGGAUGAUCCUCGAUAUGGCACUUCCACUACUCCAUCCCAUGUAUCAGCAUCUUCAGAAAGUAUUCAUGACUUGUCCAAAGAUGUGGAAACAUGGAUAACUAAUAAAUUUUCUGUCUCAAUAAAUCUAGUUGAGCUUUCUCUGCAUUCAGGAUCGACAAGAGAUUCUCCUCUGGCGAGCGUUCAGGUACUCAAUUUUUGUGCAGAAAAAUGCUUUGGAACUGCAUUGUCUACUCCAUUUACUUUUCAGAGCUUUUCCUUCCCCUUGCAUGGGCUUUUUGCAGAAUCGUAAUUAUGAUCAUGCUGAGAGCUUGUCUGAACACAAGUUUGUACAGUAACAUAUCAUAAUUAUGAUCCUCCAAACUGCUUAGAUCCACUCACACACUGGGUGGACGAGAGUCUCACCAACUCACUUAUCUUUCAUGCUCGCUUUGUGUAAUAGGGUUAACCCGUGUUGGUCACAUGGGGGCUGCUUUUGGUUCCAGCAGUGGCUUUGCCUCGCCUUGCUUCAUCGGCGUGAGCCAUGAGGAGCUUGCCUUAGCGAACAAGUGAGCCAAUUUGGCUCGCGAGGCAAAUCUUGCCUGCAUGGUCCCCGAGGUGUUCAGGCGAGGAAAUCAAACAUGUGUCCUGGCUUGUCAUCCUCGCUUGGCAAUGCGUAACAGUGCCUAGCAAUAGAACCAAGUAGCCCCAUGCAUCCUGAACUAGCAAGGUUGGACUAAACACCCCGCAACUUCACAUGCAAAUACACAUGGACCACCAUGGGCCUAAUUUGAAUUGGGCCAGGACGUCACACAUACCACCUUUUUUUUGUAGAGUACGCAAACUGUGGUGAGAACAAUGUUGUCCAGCUCACUGGUACCAGGAAGUGUGUUUUUACACACAGACUACAGUUACCUUGUGAUGGGUUUGGAAGAAAACGUAAAAUUUAAACUAUGAUCUUGUACACCAAAAAAGUCACUAGCUUUUAGUUCAUUUGUCCGAAGUCCACAAGAAUGAGGUGUGUUUCAUUUUAGGACCAGUUUCUCACUAGACUGCAGAAAAACUUGAAAAUUUGAUAUCCCAGCCAGUCUUCCAAGAAGGGAAAUAGGUGGACUCUUAGUCCAAUGGAUGAAAAUUUGAACUACAUUUAGUUUAGUUGGAAUGGUUCAAGCGGGUUUGCGGGCUUGAAGAAAGUAUGGGUCAAUUAUCUGUAGCUGCUGCAUCUCAUCUACGUAAUAGUGAAUGCAAUUUAAAGGGCGACCUAGAGGGAUGUAAGUACUGAAGUACAUUCCCUUUGUUACGUACCUUCGGGAUCACAAAGUACAAUGACUCCAGAGGUGGAGUCGUACAUAUAUAGAGAGCCUCAGGGCUAUAUAUAGAUAGGGCCUAUAGAUAGGCCUAUUGACUAGAUCUUCAUCAUAUACUUAACACCCCCCUUCAAACUCAAGGUGGAAGCGGAGGAAUGGAAGCAUUGAGUUUGAUCAAGUGAAGUCGAUGCUGCUCUCGAGUUUGUGCUUUAGUGAAAAAGUCAGCCAAUUGCAACUCUGAAGGCACAUACUGGAGAGCAAUAGUUUUCUGUUGACAAUGAGACCGAGUAAAGAAAGCAUCCACACCAAUAUGCUUUGUAAGUUCAUGCUUCACAGGAUCAUUGGCAAUCUGUAUGGCCCCUGUAUUAUCACAGAGAAGAGGUGUGGCAACAUUACAAGAAACACCAAAAUCUGCCAACAACCAUCGCAGCCAUACUAUCUCUGCAGCAGUAGUAGCAAGGGCUCGAAGUUCAGCCUCUGUACUAGAACGAACGAGAUACAACUGCUUGUUUCUUGGACUUCCAUCCAAUGGGAGAAGAACCAAGAAAAAUACAGUAUCCUGUGAUGGAGCGUCGAUCAUUUGGGUCACUCGCCCAUGUGGAGUCCGAGUAAGCAUGAAGCUGAAGUGGACUGUCAUGUGCAUAGAAUAAACUCUGAGAUGAUGUUCCCCGUAAAUAUCGUAGCACACGAAGUAGAUGUCCAAAAUGAACAGAAGUUGGAGCACAAACAAACUGACACAAAAUAUGGACAGCAUGAGCAAUGUCUGGCCUGGUGACAGUAAGAUAAACAAGGCUGCCCACAAUAUGUCGAUAUCGAGAGGGAUCCUGAAGAGGUACCCCAUCAGUGAGAUGAAGCUGCAAGUGAAGAUCCAUAGGAGUAGCAGCAGUCCGGUCAUCAGUGAUGCCUGAAUGAGCAAUAAGAUCCUGUAUGUACUUAGACUAAGAAAGACGAUAUCCCUUAGUGGAUUGCUUGACCUCAAUGCCUAAGAAAUAACUGAGAGGACCCAAAUCCGACAUCUCAAAUUCAGCACUAAGUUGUUGCUUCACAUGGGAAAUAUGAUCCUCAUCAUCUCCCGUAAUCAACAUAUCAUCAACAUAGAGAAGAAGCAACGUAUGAUCAUGCGGUGAUAAAUGAACAAAUAGAGUCGGAUCAUGAUCACUAGCUGAGAAGCCAGCAGCCCGUAUCACUGAGACCAAACGCUCAUGCCAAGCACGAGGAGCCUGUUUAAGACCAAUAGACCAAAUAAAGCACGAUGAAGACGACAGACAUAUCCUGGGGGAGCAACAACUCAUGGGGGUGGCUGCAUAUAAACUUCUUUAGUCAAAUCACCAUUAAGAAAGGCAUUCUUGACAUCCAUUUGAGAUAUGGACCAGGAAGAAGCUGAAGCAACUGCAAUCAAUGUACGGACUGUCGUCAUAUGAGCAACAGGUGCAAAAGUCUCAUCAUAAUCUAGACCCUGAGUCUUAGCAACAAGACGGGCCUUAUAUCUCUCUAUAGAGCCAUCUGACUUGGUCUUAACUUUGAAUACCCACUUAGAUGUAAUAGGUACUGUGUGCGAUGGUAGUGGAACAAGAUCCCAAGUGGCUUGACGAUCAAGGGCAGCAAGUUCCUCAGACAUAGCUAGCUGCCAUUCUGGAAUUUGAGAGGCUUCCUUAUAAGUGGAUGGCUCAUCAACAAUAGCAUGCACUUGGGGAAAACCAUACUUCUCUUCAGGAUGAAUGGUACUGUGGUCUCGGAGAUUAUACCGUGGAGCAACCUAUAACUCAUCAACAUGUGAGUCAUCAGUGUUAUUAUUAGAAGCAUCUGCAGCGGGCUCAUCAGGACUAGCCAUGGUGGAGGGAGAACUAGGUGGAAGCUGGGAGGAACGACGGUUGUAGACACGUGUAAUAGGUGGUUUUGAAAAAGAAUGUGAUGGAGGUGAGGAUGUUGUAGGAGGUAAAGGUGGUGUGAUGGAAAUACGUGGAUCAGAUGGGGCGGAAGCAUCAUCUGUGGAUGAGUUUGGAGGAAGGCUCAAAAAGGAGGUGGACUCUAAGGGAGAAUAUGAAGGCUUAGUGGAAGGGUUAUAAAAGAAAGAAUGGUCCUCAACAAAAGUAACAUCACGAGAGAUGCGUAUGCGACGGGAAGAAGGAUCAUAGCAUCAUAGCCCUUAUGCUCUGGACUAUAUCCCAGAAAAACACACUCAACAGAUUGUGCAGUCAAUUUUGUGUGCUCACGAGGGGCAAGCAAAACAUAGCAUGUGCAUCCAAAAAUGCGAAGAUGGUCAUAUUUUGGAGGGGUACCAUAAAGUACUUCACCAGGGCAUCGAUUAGACAACUUGGAUGAUGGUUGCCUAUUGAUGAGAUAAACAACAGUGGAAACAGCUUCACCCCAAAAAUGAGAAGGAACAAAGGAUGAAAUCAAAAGGGUGCGAGUUGUCUCUAUGAGAUGGCGAUGUUUGCGUUCAGCAACACCAUUCUGAGCAUGAGCACCUGGACAAGAAAGUUGUGCACGAGUACCCUCAGAGGAUAAAAAGUGGUGAAAAGCAGAGUCUGAGCGAAGAAUUUUAAUAGGAGCAGAAAAUUGUGUGAACCAUUCGAGCAAAAGACUGAUCAAUGGAACACAACUUUGAACAAUGUUUCAUAAAAUAUAUCCAUGUAUAGCGAGAAAAAUCAUCAAUAAAAAUGACAUAAUAUUUGUGACCACCCUUUGUAGCAAAAGGUGCAGGACCCCAUACAUCUGAAUGAAUAAGAUCAAAAGGUCUAGCGGAUUGAGAAACACUAGAAGAAUAAGGAAGUUGUAUUUGUUUGCCAAGUUUACAACCCUUACAAUGAAAACUAGACUCAAUAGAUGUAUGACCUAAACAACCUUUAUUUAUCAUGAAGGACAAACAAGACCCACAAAGAUGACCAAGAUGAUUAUGCCACUGGGCGAAGGAGGCAGAGGACGAUGCAACGGAUGAGGCAUGAGCUAUAGAUGCAACAGACGAAGGAAGACGUAGGGUGUCUAGAACAUAGAGGCUAGAGGCACCUUUACGGCGAUGGCCAGUCCCAAUCACUUCCCGCUGCGACGGUCCUGAAUAAAACAAGAUGAGUCAUCAAAACCAACGAAACAAUUGUGGUCAGUAACUUGACCAACCGACAGAAGAUUCAUAGACAACCAGGCGGACGGAGCAGAUGACGAACGGAAGCCCCACGGGCAGGCGGACAGAGAAGAUGACGAACAGAAGUCCCGCGACGGACGAGCCGCGCAGAGUCGCGCGGAAGACCCGCGGCGGACGAGUCUCGCACAGAGUCGCGCGGAAGACCCGUGACGGAUGAGUCGCGCACCGCGAGAUCGUGACCGCGACAGAUGAGUCUCCGCGACGGACGAGUCGCGCACCGCGACAGGAGUGACGAUCCCUGCGAUCACGAUCUCUACGCGCGUGAAGAGGACUCGGGCGGACAGGUCUCGCCGUGCGUGAAGAAGCCUCGGGGUGAGACGGCAAAGGGCCGCCCACGCGGGAAGACAGGCGACGAGGGGGCACGACGACGGGCCACGCGAAGAAAGUAGGAUCCCAAGGAGAAAGAACUGGAUCGUGGGUCAGACUAAUCUAAUCCUAACCCUAAUCCCAUAGCUUUGAUACCAUGUUACGUACCUUCAGGAUCACAAAGUACAAUGACUCCAGAGGUGGAGUCGUACAUAUAUAGAGAGCCUCAGGGCUAUAUAUAGAUAGGGCCUAUAGAUAGGUCUAUUGACUAGAUCUUCAUCAUAUACUUAACACCCUUAACUUGGGACAGAAUAUAAUAUGAUGUGAAUUGGUACUACUUGAGAAUGAGGUAACAUUUUUAUGCUGUUUUCAUGUUUGUUUCAGUAUUCUUUGGUGUCCUAUUUGCUGAGUGUAGGUCAGAUUCAAAGUACAGAUUUUUUUCCUUUUGGGAUUUCUUUCAUAUGAGAAUAUAGCUCUUUGUUGGAGAUAGUUUUACAUCACCGUUAAAUCUUCUCUAUGCAGGCGAGUGGUGCAUGGCUUCUCUAUAAAUCAAACACACGGGAAGAGAAUUUUCUGUAUGCUACUCUCAAAGGAUUUUCUGUUUUUGAUGACCGUGAAGGAACAAAAGAUGAGUUAAGGCUUGCCAUUGGGAAAUCAGCAUCUGUUCGGGACACGUCAUCUGUUGAUGGCUAUGAUAAUCCUAACGAACUUGAUUCAGGUGAACGAAGAAUACAAAAAGAUCUAGGCCUUGAGCCAAUCCCCUCGAUGCUUAUUCUUGAUGCCAUCUUCAGAAGAUCUUCGUCUUCUGUCUCUGUAUGUGUUCAGCGGCCCAAGUUUCUUGUGGCACUUGACUUCUUACUAGCAGUAAUCGAAUUCUUUGUGCCAUCUGCUCGGAGUCUUUUAUCCAAUGAUGAAGACAAGGACCUUCUACAUAUGAUCACCCCAGUAGUAUUGGAUGAUCAGAUUUAUUAUCAGGAGCAUUCAACAUUUAGUCUUUCACCUCAGAAGCCCUUAAUUGUUGAUAAUGAGAGAUUUGAUCACUUCAUAUAUGAUGGGAAGGGUGGAAAAUUAUAUUUGCUGGAUAGAGAGGGGAAAAUUAUCUCAAGCCCUUCUGCUGAGAGUUUCAUUCAUGUGCUGGGGUGUAAGAGGUUGCAAUUUCGGAAUGUCACUAUAGUGGUAAUAUUCAGCGUUUCAGUCUCCAUUAUUCUCACUUUUUACUGACCACACCUAUAUGGCCUUUUGGUCUUUUGACAAUGUGAUACCCUGCCGCAGAAUGGUGAAUAUUUGGACUCUUGUAUCUCUCUUGGUGAUGAUAGCUGUUAUUCAGCCUCAGAGAAUGAUCAUGUCUAUUUAGCUAGAGAAGAUGAUGGGCCCUUGUCGACUCCCAGCAAGGAAAUUGCAGGAGACACUGUUAAAAAUGGAAGUGCUGAUAUAUCGACCGAAUUCAUUAUGGAACUACAGGUAUUCCUUUAAACUUCUAGCUAUUGUUGAGACACAUUUAAUUCAUCACCGUGUUAAGCACAUAGUUUUCAUCUUCUACUGCAUCGUGAUACCAUAUUCUGUGUAAGCUACCAAUGUGACUUAUUCAAACAAGCUCAUGAAAGCUAGUAACCCUGGAGAUUCAUGAUAGUUCAGGAAUCUCUCCAACUUUUGCUUUUCAUUUUGAAUAUAAUUGUUGAAAUGUCAGCACAUUUCCCACCUUCCAUUAUAAGCUUAAGAUUUUGCAUGAAUUGAUAGCACAUCUUAGGUGUAUGGGAGCUGAGACAUAGCAGGGGGUGUUUAAGAGUUUGUUGCCCAAGUGCCUAAGUUUCCUCAUAAACUUAAGCUUUUGGAUCAUUUGGCCGGUCUAGACAGCUUAACAGUAGCAUUCCUAUGUCUGCAAGGUUUCCCAAAACUUCACCAGCUGGGUUCACUGGUAACUAAUGCUGGUUUUAUCCAGCAGGUUACAACUUACAAACUGUGAAGUCACUCCCAUUAUGUGACUUUUGGAACUGCUGCACGCAUGAUCGCCAUUUUGUAAUUCUAUGGUUGAACUGCAUUGCAUGAUUGUUUCAGGCUAUUGGACCAGAGCUUACUUUCUAUAGUACAUCAAGGAAUGCCGGUGAAAACUUAGCGCUAUCAACAAAGGUUAUUCAUGCCCGCACAGAUGCAUUUUGCAGGUUUGGUAUUCUACUGCCCUUUGGCUGAAUGUAGUUUUCGAUUGAUGCAUUGCUUACAUUAGUACAUGUAGCAGAUAUCUAAAGUGCUUUAUGCAUCACUCUCUUUUUCUUCCCUUACUGUACUUCAUGGGUUAAUUAGAUGUUGAUUUUUUUUGAAAAGAAAACUGCUAUUAUAAAGUUGCCAUUAAUUCUCUUCCUGGAUGUCUGGAGCUGAUGAUACAAAGCUACCAUGGGGAGCAGAUUUAUGCUUUUUUUUACAUUUGUUUCUCUUUAGUUUACAUUAUGACUGCACAGUUACAUAUUGGAUAAUUGAUAUGCUAAACAAAGAAGUUAAAUUUGUCAAAGUAUUUCAUGACUAUGAAAUUUACAGAUGUGAUACUACCGCUGAUAGGACUAGAAGCGCUACCGGAGUUGGUGUGUAAGCUGUAGGGGUGGAAGACUGGAGGCCGAGGUCUGAAACCUCGGUGGCGGCGCGAGGGCGCCGUGCUGUAGGCGUGAGCAGCUAGGGCAAGAGGCGGCUAGGGUUUCUCCCGGCUCCCUAAGAAGCUGGAAACAAUAAUAUGUUUCUGCUUAAUACUCUCAAUAGUCUCUCUCUCAAUAACAAUAUGGAAACAAACUAAUAAUAUCUAUAAAUAGGAUAAAUAUGGGCCUUAAGCCCCCUUAGGCUGCCGACAUCCCCUAGCCACUGCUGGGCCGUCCUCGAGUAUAAUGGAUGCCGGUCAUAACAUCUCUCCCCGCCUGCGCAAACAGCUCGUCCUCGAGCUGGAAGUCGGGGUAGAAGGUGCAGAACUCGUCAACGAUCUCCCAAGUCGCGUCGUCUUCAGGAAAGCCUUGCCACUAGAUGAGUACUUGCCAGACGCCUCGACGUUGAUGCGCACGGAGCACCUUAGCAGGAGCCGGCAGCCGACCGUCCAGGGUCGGAGCGAGAGCGCCUGGGGCAGCCGGUGGAUCUCCGCGGUGGCGCUUAAGCAACCCCACGUGGUACACAUCAUGAAGACGGGCACCCUCUGGAAGCUGAAGACGAUACGCCAUGCUACCGAUGUGUUCCAGGACACGGAACGACCUGGCAUAGCGAGGGCCAAGUUUGCCCUUGGCGCCUGGCCAUAGAGAGUGGGCUGUGCGGUUGAGCAGCCGCAACCAGACCCAGUCGCCCGUCUAGAACUGUACCUCGCGAUGUCCUGCGUCAUAGUAUUUCUUGGACAACCGCUGAGCUUGCAAAAGACGUUGCCGAACCUCAGCGAGGACCUCGUCUCGAGAGGAAGAAGAGCAUCCAUGGCCUCUGUACGUGUUGUUCCGGGUGCGUAGGGCAGCAUUGGCGGGGGAGGGCGACCGUAGACGACCUCGAACAGGGUGGCACGAAGAGCUGUGUGGAAAGAUGUGUUGUAACAGUAUUCCGCCCACGACAGCCAAUCCACCCAGGCGCGAGGUCGAUCCCCCGUGACACAGCGCAAGUACAUAGCGAUGACCUUGUUGACCACCUCGGACUGGCCAUCUGUCUGCGGGUGAAAUGCUGUGUACUCAUGUGCAGUUUAACGCCCCCCAUCUUGAAGAGAUCCCGCCACACAUGUCCAGUAAACACGGGUCCUGGUCGCUGACGAUGGAUAGCGGAAACCCAUGGAGGCGGACGAUACCGUUGAAGGCGCGAGCGACGGAUGUGGCGGUGUAGGGGUGGCCGAGCGCGAUGAGAUGGGCAUAUUUGGAGAAGCGAUCCACUGAGGAUGACCGAUUUGCCCGCGACCUUGGGCAGCCCCUCAAUGAAGUCCAUCGAGAUAUCCGGCCACACUUGGGUGGGGACAUUGAGGGGUUGGAGCAGCCCGGCUGGCUGCACCGUCUCCGUCUUGUUGCGCUGGCACGUGGUGCAAGAGCGCACCAAGUCCUGGACUAGCGUGCGGCCCCGCGGAAUGUAGAAGCCGGCACGAAGUCUGUGGAGCGUCUUCUUAAUACCCUCAUGACCAGCCGAGUGCGCCAAGAGGAGCACUUGUUGCUGCAAGUCACCAUGGUCCGGCACGAAGACGCGGGAGCCAUGGAGCAGGAGGCCGUCAUAGAGGCGCCAAGGGGCGCUCAGCUCGCCCGCCUGAAGUUGCUCUAGCAGCUUGCGGCCAUCCGGGGUGUCAGCCGUGGCGCGGCGGACCUCGUCUAGAAGGGCGAACGUCGGUCCGGACAGGGCCAGAGCCACCGAAGGGCCCGCAGCCACCACGUUGACGUCGCGGCGUGAGAGAGCGUCAGCCACGGUGUUGAGACGGCCCGGACGGUAUUCCACCGAGAAGUCGAAACCGAGGAGUUUGCUGAUCCAUUGAUGCUGCGGCACGGUGGACAAACGCUGGUCAAGCAAAAAUUUCAAACUAUAAUUGUCAGUGCGGACCAGAAAUGGGCGCCCCCACAAGUAUGGACGCCAAUGUCGCACUGCCCUGCACCAGCCCGAUCAGCUCGCGUUCAUAGGCGGCCAGCUUGAGAUGACGAGCAGCGAACGUCCGACUGAAGUAGGCGAGGGGUUCGGCGCCCUGGUGAAGGAUAGCACCGAACCCUGCGCCUGACGCGUUGCAGUCGACCACGAAGGUGGCGUCGAAGUCCGGCAUCUGUAGAACUGGUCCCGUGGUCAAGGUGCGCUUGAGCGCCUCUAACGCAGCUGUCGGGUCUAACGCAGCUGUCGUGGUCAAGGUGCGCUUGAGCGCCUCUAACCGAACCCUGCGCCUCUAACGCAGCUGUCGCGUCGUCGUCCCAUGCGAACGCGUCUCGCCGCAAGAGACGCGUUAGUGGGGCAGCGAUGAUGCCGUAGUCCCAAAUAAACUUCCUGUAGUAGCCGGGCAGCCCCAGAAAGCCGCGGGGCCCCUGGCGGAGCGCGGAAGUGGCCACGCAGCCACGGCGGCGACCUUGUUGGCGUCCAUGGCGACACCGCCCUCGGAGAUCACAUGGCCUAGGUAGGCCACUGACGGUGCCCCGAAAGAGCACUUGGAGCGCUUGAGAUGAAGGCGAUGUGCGCACAAGGCGUUGAGGACAAUGUUGACAUGCUGCAAGUGUUCGGCCCACGACGAGCUGUAAAUUAGUAUAUCAUCGAAGAAUACCAACACGAACCUCCGAAGGUAGGGGCGGAGCACAUCGUUCAUCAGGGCCUGAAAUGUCACCGGGGCAUUGGAGAGUCCAAACGGCAUCACCAAAAACUCAAAAUGGCCAUGAUGCGUGUGGAAGGCCAUCUUGGCGAUGUCGUCCGGGUGCAUGCGCACCUGAUGGUACCCGGAACGGAGAUCGAGCUUGGUGAAGAAGCGAGCCCCGUGGAGCUCAUCCAGCAACUCGUCAACCACUGGGAUCGGAAAUUUGUCCUUGGAGGUCUUGGCGUUGAGGGCGCGGUAGUAAAUAAACUAAUAAUAUCUAUAAAUAGGAUAAAUAUGGGCCUUAAGCCCCCUUAGGUUGCCGACAUCCCCUAGCCACUGCUGGGCCGUCGUCGAGUAUAAUGGAUGCCGGUCAUAACAACCGCUGUUAGUACGUAUUGAUAUACCAUCUACAAGACGGGAUGAACUAUGCUGUUCAAAGUCAGAUUGCUUAUUGCUGUCAUGUCGCUUCAUUUUCCUUUUUAUAUUUACUUCAUAUUCCCAUCUGAUGUGGCAAAUUGAUUGGGCACUGGAUACAAGAACAGCAGAUAGAUCAGCUAACUCGCCCUCACUCCAGAGGCUUUGAACUACUUCUUAGAUCUAUCUCUGCUUGCCUUCCCUAGCUACCUAGAAUGUCUUUAUAGACCAGGCAAUCCAAGUAACUAAUUAAUCUUAUCUGCUAAUAAACCUGAACAAAAACUGUGAACUAAUCCUAGGCUACUGAUGCAGCACAUCCAGUGCCAGAACCAACAGUUCUAAGAUGAUGUGGUAAGUUGAUUGGGCACUGGAUACAAGAACAGCAGAUAUAGAUUGGCUAACUUGCCCUCCCUCCAGAGGCUCUGAAUUGCUUGUUAGUUCUAUUUCUGCUGACUUCCCUGGCUAUGGCUAUCUAUGGAUGGUUUUAUAGACCAGGCACCCAAUAAACUUCCUAACAAAUCUUAUCCAAGUAACCAGUGAGUCUUACCUACUAACAAACCUGAACAAACUGUGAACUCAUUGUAGUAUGCUGAUGCAGCACGUCCAGGGCCAGAACUGUCCUACUCGCCAUAACACCAUCCAACAAGGAAUUCACACAAUCACCUGAUCCAAGAAACUUAUUGAAGCACACCAUUUCUUUUAGUGGGAGAAAAAGUUUGCCAACAUGUGCCUCACACAUUAAACAAUUGUCUUUAUGUUCUCUGUAUGUUGGGGAUUGAUCCCUUUUUGUGUGGCAGGCUUAUAAUGAAAGGUGACAGUAUGGAGAUGAAUGGAAACAUACUUGGUUUAAAGAUGGAGAGUAAUGGCAUCAGAGUUAUAGAACCAUUUGACAUGGCUGUGAAAUAUUCAAAUGCAUCUGGAAAGACAAAUUUGCAUCUGCUGGUUUCUGAAAUAUAUAUGAAUUUUUCCUUUAGUAUUCUCAGACUGUUUUUAGCAGUUGAGGAAGAAAUUUCAGCAUUUCUCAGGAUGUCAUCUAAGAAAAUUUCACUGGUGUGCUACCAGUUUGACAAAGUUGCAACUAUGCAAGGUACAGGAUGACUUGUACUUCCCGGGUGGGAAAUAUAUGCCCAUCUAGGUUUUCCUAAGUCAAAUCUUUUUACAUUUUGACUAUAAAUGUCCAAACUUUUAUAUCAGUUGACAACAUAAGAUUAUACUUUCAUUGUGAAAUAUACUUUCAUAAUACAUGCUCCUCCGGUUCCCUAAAGCAAGUCAUUUUGGACAUCAACACGGUCUCAAAAAACAACUUUGACUGCUACUUUUUGCUAUAAAAUAUUAUAAAAUAUAGGUCCAUAUAUAUCUUUAUGAAACUACAUUUCGAGAUGAAUCUACUUACAUCACUUUCAUAUUUUCAAACUCAAGCCAAAAAAAUUCAUCUGUAGUCAAAGUUUAAAAUGUUUGACUUAAUACAACCUCAAAACGACUUGCUUUAGGGAACCGGAGGGAGUAACUCUUUAUGCAUAAGCUAAAUUGCUAAUAUAUUUUUAUGGAUAUGGUUAGUCAAUGUGUGACCUUGUAGACCCUGUCGUGUCCUAAUGGGCUUAUAAUUCUGAUAAGAGUUAUGUUGGUGUAUACUGAGAGUCCUAUUUUGUAAGCUGCAUUCAUUUUUUUUUUGUUGACUUGUUUUAGGCAAUGCAAAUAAUCAAGUGUUAUCUUUCUGGCGACCACGUGCUCCAUCUGGAUACGCCAUUUUUGGCGAUUAUCUCACACCAAUGUUUGUGACUACUACUUCAUGCUCUAAUUUCUUCUUAUGUUGGUAUGUUGGUGGAAGGAUUUUGUUAGCAUUUAAUCUCUCUCUUUUUUCAUGUUAGGAAUGAGCCUCCUUCUAAAGGAGCCCUUGCCCUGAACACAAACAUUGUUAAGGUCAAAAGGCCUUUAUCAUACAAGCUAGUGUGGCAAUCUGGUUCUCCAAAAACAAACGUUUUUAAUCAGAAUGAGGACUCGGAGAAUAAGAUAUCUAUUGCUGACCAGCUCUGCUCUGUUUGGUUACCUGUGGCACCUGUGGGUUACGUUGCAAUGGGUUGUGUUGUUUCAUCUGGGACUGCUGAACCACCUUUGUCUUCAGUUUUCUGUUUAACUGCUUCCUUGGUUUCAUCGUGUAAUCUAAGGGAUUGCAUUGCACUAAGGUCAAAUAUAUAUUACCUGAACUUGUUUCUGUAUUUGUUGUAUGGCUGUAGAUAUUUCACACUCAUACAUUAUGUACUCUAACUGCAUUCUUCAGGGAUAAUGCUAACAUGAUCUUCUGGCGAAUUGAUAAUGCUUUUGGUUCCUUUGUACCUGGAGAUCCUGCAAGCAUGAGUGUGCAUGGCAAUGCUUAUGAUCUUCGACAUAUGCUGUUCGACAGUGCAGACUCAUCUUCUAAGACUAUCUCAAGAAGGCAAGAUAGUAGAAAUGAUUCCUCUCAACUAGAGAGAACAGAAUUAACCUCGGGUCGGCUAUUUGACGCGGUGGCAAGCUUUAAACUAAUUUGGUCAAAUAGUGCGACCUCUUCACCAAAAAAGCUCUCAAUAUGGCGUCCAAUGUUGUCUGAAGGAAUGUUUUACUUUGGUGACAUAGCUGUUAACGGGUACCAUUUAUGUGAUUACUGUUUGUCAUUUAAAGACCAAGCUUUGUUUGCGAUUGAAAACUUAAUAUUUAACUUUCAAUUGUAGGUAUGAACCACCAAAUUCAACUGUUGUCCUUCGUGAUACUGGCGAAGACACUUUUCUCAGAGCUCCUGAAGGUUUUGACCUUGUUGGUCAAAUUAAGAAGCAACGAGGCACUGAGGGUGUAUCAUUUUGGUUUCCUAAAGCUCCUUCAGGUUUUGUGGCAUUAGGAUGUGUUGCAUCUAAAAGUUCUCCAACGAAAGAGGAGUUCAGUUUGUUAAGAUGUAUUAGAAGUGACAUGGUGGCUGGAGGUCAAUUUUCUGAGGAAGGUGUAUGGGAUUCAUCCAAUGCUAGAACAUCUGAAUCUUUUAGCUUAUGGACUGUUGAUAAUGAUGCUGGUACAUUUCUUGUGAGAAGUGGAUAUAGAAAACCUCCAAAGAGGUUUGCACUGAAGCUUGCGGGUCCACCUACAUCAAGCAGUUCAGAUAGCAUCAUUGUUGAUGCCGAAAUUAAAACAUUUUCUGCUGUUUCCUUUGAUGAUUAUGGUGGAAUGGUGAGCCAUAUCCUGUAGAUGGAUCUUUAUCUUGCAACUAUUAUUAACUUUUAAUAUCCCAAACGAUAGUUGGCUUGUGUCUUUAUUUCAAGUGAUCUAGCUCCUCUGAUGCAUGCUGAUAUAUGUUCUCAGAUUGUUUUUUGAAUUAUUCUGUGCAGAUGGUUCCAUUAUUUGGGCUGUCCUUUGACAGUGUUGGACUAAGUUAUCAUGGUGGUCCUCAUCAUCUCAAUGCAACUGUGAGCUUGUCAUUUGUGGCCAGAUCCUAUAAUGACAAGUAUAGCUCGUGGGAGCCCUUCAUUGAACCAACAGAUGCAUUUCUUAGGUAACUUCUCUAGGAACUAAAUCGCUUCUCCAAAUAACAGUUGGGGUGGACCCUACUGAAUAACUGUAUCAAUAUAUUAUAUAUAGAUAAAUAUGUACAAAGCAUAGGCAGAGCUAUGUGUCGGCCAAGGUGUGCUACCUCCCGUUGCCUCUACAAAAUUUCUUUGGUAUCUGUAUCUCAUCACAAUCCGAUAAUCCAUCAAUAGAAGCGGCAGCACUUGAACAUGAAGCUUUUUAGUACUAGCAGAAAGCCAUGAACCAACAUUACGACAUUUCACUUGCUGCGUACUACGGAUGAUUGUAUCCUCUAUGCCUGUUUUCCCCUUCUUCCUCAACCUCAAAUGAAGGGACGAGUGCAUGUAAGGGGAUUUUUCUUUGCCUGGCGCCUCCUUGCUAGAAUGCUAGCAUCUGAAACCACCAGCUGCUCUCUUCGUCAUGCAAGACAGGGAAACACAUCAACUCACAUGUUGCAUGUUCCAUUGUUGUUUUUCUUGAAUGGAAACUUGCAAUAAUUCUGAAGAACUAGAUAUUUAGGCAUGCGAGUGAGAGAAUCUGAAUGCUAUAACAUGUUAGUCUACUGAGAUCAUCUACUAAUUUUUGGUAGAGGACCUUUGGGUUGUUUUUUAGAUAAUGGAGGGUUUCCGGCUUCAGACAUCUUCUAAUGGAAAUGCAUCAAUCCACAAUUAUUGCAAAGAGAUAUCACGUCCCAACAAUGAAACAUGUGGCCAAGAAUAAGAACAAGCUAUAGGAAAGGAAUAAAUUCUAAAUCUUCAGACUGCAGCUUGAAUAAUGUCCUCUGAUGUACCAAAGAAAAACAACAAACUACAAAAAAGUAAAUUCAAAAUCUUCAAAUUGCAGCUUGAGUAAUCCUCCUUUCCACCGGAAUUCUUGUGUGUUUGAAGGAAUUUUGCCUAGUAUAGUAUCCAUGCACUCCUUCAGACCAUAGGAGAUGACAGAUGAGUGCAGUUUAUGGUGCAUGGCUGGAGCAUCAAAGCUCAGUGAAUUACUGUCAAGAUUGUUGGUCUAGAUUGUCUAAUUUCUAGAGCAGCUUGUUUGUUCAGGUCCUGUUCAUGUAUAGAACCGCCGCUAUCCUUCCCUUUUCGGUUUGGGUGGGUAUGUGGUGUUGGUUUUUCAGCUUGCUGGGCUUCUUCCUAUAUCCAGCUUGUCUUGGUAUUUCUCUAUCUUAAUCAAAUGACACUUGGAUCUCCUGCGCCGUUUAACAAAAAAGUAAUCCUCCUUUCGCUGCUUGUUCCCUAAUGUUGACAUGAGCCAAAUCCGACAUGGGGGAAGAGAAACUAUUCCAUUUGCUGCUUGAAACUCUGACCACGAUACCAAGACCAGUGAUAUAAGCAUCCUCACUUCCACCUAAAUAGGAAGUGGGAGUACGCUGGAUACCAAUUCUUGUUGAAGACUUUGAAUUAAGAAACCACAGCACAUGCACCAUUAACACCACCAAAGAAGUCCUCCAAAAUGAUGCCAACAAGGACACAGUUUAGUCGCCACCGCCACUUGCCUAGAACAGGCAAAGUUUUCACCAAGAGACCCGAUGAUGAUGUCGCCUCCAAGGAGGAUAACAACACCCAAAGGCGUUGUCACCAUCGAGGCUGGCACAGGGACCAGCAUGGCUUUCGCCAAUGCACACCAACCCACCACAACAAAGACCAGAAUCAAUGAAGCACGUCCAUACCACACCAUCGCCAAACACUGGGGACAUAACGCCCAUGCCACACCACCACACCACCGCCAUACUACGAGGCCCUAAGCGCCUGUUGCUACCAUGUCUUGCUCAACCAAGGUCACCGGAUUGCCGCCCAGCCAUGUCAAGGAUAGCUACAGUAUAGGGACAGGCCCUGUCGGGAAUGAGCACAUGGGAGAAGGUGCUGGCGACCACCGACGUAGGGGGGGAGGCCAGCCACGUCGUCACCACCACAACCGACACACUGGAUGGUGGAGGGAAGCACCACCACCGAGCCAACUGUCAAGAACCGCACCAUCCACCACUCAAUCCGGACGAAUCCCACCGUAGUGUGAAAGGCGCUCACACAGAUACGGCCGAAUACCAUGCCCAAUCUGUCACCGGAGUAGGAAAUGAGGACGGGAUGAGUAGAAAAAAAGGCAAGGGUGAGGGAGGAGGAUCGCCUGGCCACCGCCAUCCUUGCAGCCAGCUGGGCUUCCCGGCGGUGUACUUAAGUGGCAGCAAGGCAUAGGUGGCGCUGGGUAGGUAAGUGGCGACUGGCGAGGUGGCUGUGUCUAGCCCUCGAACCACAGCUGUAUUCAGAUUGAGCAUAAAGAGACAGGAUCCUAUUCUCGGGGUUGGUUUAUUCCUAUUUUUUGGUAGUAGUUAUAACUACUGUAGACAAAAAUCAGUAAUUUGGCUUCCCCUUCAGUUUGUGUCAUGCUCUGCCAACAAAGGUCUACAAGCCCAAUGAUACAAGGAUAAAUAUGACCUGAGAGGAUAGAGAGGCCUAUGACCGUGCACACAAAAAAGGUGUAACGUCCCGCCUCCACGAGGCCGGGUCCGCUUACAUCUGGUAGCUUUUCUAGGAUAUAGUCAGUUCCCACAGACCAACACUAGUCUUUUCUGCACACUUUGUCCUCACUCGUGCGCAUCCGGAAAGUACUUCGUGGUCGGUCACCCCCAUCCCUAAAUUUCUCUAGGCCAAGCACGCUUAACUUUAGAGUUCUUUGGAGAUGGGCUUCCAGAAAAGAAGUUGCAACUUGUUGGUAUAAGUCUCCUAUUAAUCCUAUUAAGCCCUGGGCCGGGUGUUACAAAAGGACAAUGUUCAUAAACUGAAAAUCUCAUGAGAAACAAACCAUUCUUGUCGGUGUCCUUCCCAAAAUACAAUAUCUAUCGUUUGCAGUUCUUGUCUUGGCUUCAAACCAUAGGUAAAUUGUGUGUGUGUAUACUUUCAUUAUUUGCUGUUAAAAAGCAUUAUUAAUAAGGUGUUGGGUCUAUGUAUGACUCCUUUUUUCUUCUACUAAUAUAAUGAUACGCAGCUCUCCUGCGUGUUCGAGAAAAAAAAAGCAUUAUUAAUAAGUAAUUGAUCUUGAUAAUUCACAAGGCCUUCAUUCACUUGCCUAUUAACCAUAUGCAACACCAUAUUAGUUACAGAAUAACAGAUUUUUGUAAAUUUUUAUUACAUGAUUUGGUACUCAUUGUGUUAUGGAUAUUAGGUACCAAUAUGACAUGAAUGCACCAGGUUCUCCUGGACAACUCCGUAUUACCUCAACUCGAGAUCUGAAUUUGAACAUAUCUGUUUCCAAUACAAACAUGUUAUCACAAGCUUAUGCUAGCUGGAACAAUAUUAGCUGUGGUGAUGAAUUGUACAGGAAGGUAUAUCAUUUCUCCUUUAAGCUUAUUGUUUAAUAAUUUUGUUAUCUGCCAAUCUGUUUACUCCUUAUAAAAAUAUGGAAAGUUAACCCGUAUUUACUUUGAAGUAUUCAGUUGAUGCUUAUGCCAUCAUUUGUCUUCUCUCUUGUUCUAUUAUCAGGAAACCUUUUGUUCUACUGAGCGACCAGUUCUUGAUGUUCAUCAAAGAAGAAGUUAUUAUGUUGUUCCACAAAAUAAACUUGGACAAGAUAUUUACAUAAGAACUGCUGAAAAUAGAAGUUCACUUGUUACUCUGCUGCCCUCUGGGGAUGAUAGGUCUAUAAAAGUUCCGGCUUUAAGGGAUCUAUUGGAUUCUCAUUUAAAUGGAAGAUCUGUUAAAUCAUAUCGGUUGAUGAUAACUGCCAUUCUUGCGGAUGCAGAGGUAGCUCUUUUAUUUUGCACUAAACUAUGUACUCUUUUACCUCCAUGUGCUUUCUCAGUGAUGAAGUGGCGGUCAACUUUUUUAUCACAGCUUGACUUUUUUGUUUGUUUUAACACGUCCUCACUUAACCUUUCAUUUAAAACCAGCACCAGAAAAUGCUAAGUGGUGGUGACAGAUAACCGGCUGAGCAUUGACUGCGAUCUGACCUAAAAACUCCAAAAUUACCUCAAUAGGAAGUCAGCAGCUUGGUUUUUUUUUUUUUGAGAGAAAAUACAGCAGGGGAGGCUCCCACUGUUUGCUUUAUUAAAACAAAAUAAAAAAAUAGAAGGACAACACUGUACAAAAGAAGUUGCACAAAGAAGAAAGCCCGAGGUGGGUUAAGGAGCUAAUCUAGGGAAGCUAUAUAGGAAAGAAAGACAGCACACUUAUCAUCGCUUAAGUCUAUGAGCUUGUAGUGUAGCUUCUUCAUAGAAGGAGCUUUUCCAAGAUCCAAAGGAUGGGCGACCUCUAUCGAAAAUAUAAUUAUUUCUUUGCUUCCAGAUUUGCCAAGCAGUGAGUCUCCAUGAAAAAGGGGUUCUGAUGUUGAAUCUUAGCUUGCUGCAUCAUUUGGAAAAAUUCCGUUGUUAGGUUCCAACUUAUUCCAAGAUGUUGCCAACAUGUUUGACUAAACGAGCAGCUGAAGAACAAAUGGAAUGCAGUUAUUUGUGACUUAUUGUUAAAGUGUUCCAUCCUAUCUUUUCCAAACACAAAUGGGAAUUAGAACAUUUACAUUCUAACUUAAUAGGGAGGGAUUAGCAUCUGAACGUAAUAUUGAAAUGUUCAAGCCCAUGUUUUACAUCCAAUUAGAAUAUCUUGUCUCUUCACUUGGGAUUUCUGGUUCAAUCUCCUGAGAAGCCUGGGGAAACAUCAUUUGAAGAUUGGUGGAAAAAAAAAUAUCUGCUGGUGCUCACGAUCAGAUUAAGAGGGGCCUCAACUCCCUCUCCACGUUAGGUGCUUGAACUUUAUGGAAUCAUCGCAAUAGGUGUGUGUUUGAUGGGGCAUCUCCAAGCUUAGCUAGAACUUUUCAUCUCACUAGCGAGGAGCUAUACUCUUGGUGCUGUCUGGGGUGCGAGGCAUCAACUACCUCCUGGCAAUUAUGCCAAGCGAGAUUUAAGUUUAGGUUGUGAUCAGUGAUCACUUUUUCUCUUGUACAAGGCGCGCAUGUCCUUUAUUAUCUGAAUGGUGUGGGUGUGUAUGCUUUUUGUAAGGGUUCCUAUCCAUUUUCCUUCUCUUAAUAUAUUGAUACCUGACUCUCCCAAGUGUUCGAGAAAAUGUUUUACAUCAAAUUCUGAACCUUGUACUGCAGUUAACUUGCCUGCUAAAUAAAUUGUUGUGAAGGACUUUUUUGGUCAUUCUAAACUUAGGUUUUCCAUCCCAGGUCAAGGAUGAUGAAGGAUUAGGAAGUGGUGAAUAUAUGACUGCUGUGCGGCUCUUUUCAGAAAACCAUUCCAUAUCUGUUGUUCAGCAACAGAGUGCCCGUACUUGUGCUGCUACUGGAGAACACUCGUCACAGAACACCAGAAAGGUGAACUGGAAUGAAAUGUUCUUUUUCAAAGUCGAACGCGUGGUAUGUAAACACAACACAUUCUGGAACACUUUUACUCUUGUUUUUUACAUUCAAAAAAACUCCUCUGAGUUUAGGUCUCCAUGACAAUUGUGCCGUGACUUUUCUGAGAGCCAUGUUUCCAUUUAACUAAUAUUUCAUUUUCUCUGCAAAUGUUUCAGGACAGUUAUACUCUGGAGCUUCUUGUGCUUGAUGCUAGUAAAGGUUCGUGAUUUCAGCGCAAAACAAAUGCCAUUAUUUUGUUUGUUUUCCGACACUAGUUUAUAGUUUAUGUUGAGAACAGGUCAACCAGUUGGUAUAUACUCUGCUCCAUUGGAGCAAGUUGUGCAAAAGCUCCCUCCUACCUCUAAUUCGGAUUGUGUCAAAUUUGAUUUGACUUUAGGAGACCUUAUCUCAACUAAGACAGUGGUGAGAACUCUUGGAGAACCAUAUAUCGAGUCACUUUUGUAGAAUAGAGUCCACGCACAGUGUGCUUAUGCGAAAUUUAUACUUACUAAUAUCUUAUAACGUUUAUCGACAUUUUUUUUGUAGGAGCACGAAACUAUUAAACCUAGUGGAAAAAUAAGAUUUGCGGUACUUGUUUCUGGUAGAGCUAGUGUACAACAAGGGAAUAGAGCCAGUCCUGAAAGAAACAAGACUGGAUAUAUUCAAAUUAGUCCUUCAAAAGAAGGGCCUUGGACAAGCAUGAAGUUAAACUAUGCUGUACCUGCAGCAUGUUGGAGGUUUGGCAAUUGUGUGAUUGCUAGUGAAGCAACAGUCAAGGAAGGCAACAGAUAUGUUAGCAUACGUUCCCUUGUGUCAGUUACUAAUACAACCAAUUUCAUUGUUGACUUGCGUCUAAAAGGAAGAAUUUCUCAAAAUGCACGAUCAGAUGAUCAGGGAGAUGGUUUUGAUAAAGAGGAUCAAAUCCAGAUUGGAAUGCUGGAGCCCCAUUCUACUGUUCCAGUUCCACUAUCAGGCCUCUCACAUCCUCUUGUGUCCUAUAUGUUGCAGCUGAGGCCAGCAAACCAUCAUGAUCAUGAAAAUUACUCUUGGAGUGAUGUCCAGGAGAGGCGCAGUCAAACUGAGUUUAGAAAGGAGGAAAUCCUAGAUAUAUGUGUAUCAGAUCUGUAUGAAUCAGAAAACUUGCUAUUCUGCUCACAGGUAGAUGGCACCUCCAGUUCUUGUCAUGGACUAUGGUUCUGCUUGAGUAUAGAAGCCAAGGAAAUAGGCAAAGAUGUUCACAUGGAUCCAAUAUAUGAUUGGUGCAUCAUUAUCAAGUCCCCGUUGUGUUUGACAUACUAUCUUCCCAUUUCUGCACAUUAUACUGUCAGUUCUAGCCACCUUGACAAUGAAGAUUCAAGUUGUUCCCUUGGUACCUUAAGUCCUGGUGAGGCUGUAAAGGUCCACAAUGUUGAUCCAAGAAACCCUUUGUACUUAUCCCUUGUUCCACAUGGAGGAUGGGAACUAAUGCAUGUACGGAUAAAAUUACUUACUUUUAUAGAUGUCUUGCUUUUCUAUUUUUUCUACAUACUAUUGAAAUGCUUUUCUGGUUCUAGGAGCCUGUUCUUAUAUCACAUCCUACCCAAGCACCUUCCAAAUUUAUCAAUCUAAGAAGCUCUUUAUCUGGAAGGUAACAAUGCAAACAUGAAAUUUUUUCCGGUGGAUAAAUGCCAUAACCUUUCACUAAUCAAGUUUCUUUAAUCCUGUUUGUCUUUCAUUCUUCUGUAGGGUUGUACAGAUUCUGCUUGAACAAAGCAGUGAUAAUGACUAUUUGAUGGCGAGGCUUAUCAGAAUAUAUGUUCCCUAUUGGAUAUCUUUUGCUAGAUUGCCUCCACUUACUCUGCGUCUUGUUGAUAUUUCUAGAAGGAAAGAGAAGAGGCGGCUUCUUGCACGUUCACAUUUGGAAAGGGCUGAGAAGCACCUCUAUGAUAUAAAACAUGAUGAAUUGGUUGAGGGAUACACUAUAGCGUCUGGAUUAAAUUUUAAGGGAUUAGGACUUCUAUCGUCUGUCGGUGGACAUGGAGGACGGUUUGGAUCUGUGAAAGAAUUGUCGCCUCUUGGUGAUAUGGUUAGUUUGGAUCUACUUCUUUUAUUCUUUUUCUUGUUUUGAACCACUACAACUAAAUGUUUUUUUCUAUAUUCAGGAUGGAGCAGUUGAUCUUUCUGCCUAUGAUGAUGAUGGAAAAUGUAUGCAUAUUCUUCUUUGUUCAAAGCCAUCCUCGUAUCAAGCUGUUCCAACAAAGGUAGCACAUCUUAAUCUACAACUUCAUAUAAAAGUGUCCAUCAGUUGACUUCAUGUCAUGACACAACAGGUUAUCCAUGUACGCCCGUAUAUAACAUUCACAAACAGGAUCGGACAAGACUUGUACUUAAAACUUAGUGUUGAAGAUGAGCCAAAGGUCCUACAUGCAUAUGACUGGAGGGUUUCCUUUAUGUACUCCGAGGGGACUACUGACAAACUGCAGGUACUACAACAUUCUCUGUGAAGGCACCAUUUUGGGUAAUUGUUUGCAUGAAUUGUUGAUGGAGCCGUUAUAAAAAGUAAAUGACCAUGUUAGUAUUUGCUUUUAUGAGGAUCUUUUAGUGCUCAAUUCUGUAAUGCUCCCUAAGUGCUCAGUUCUGUAGUGUCUAUUUAUGCAAGAGAUUGUCUUUUUUUCUCCAAUGAGUAGGGGAGAUGUGUAUCAUUGCAUUAAGAAGAAGAAAGGAUAGUACAAAACAUAAACAACAACACCACACCCACAUCCACAAAUAUAUCUUGGUUACAUUCACGCCCAUUACAGAAAACACACAACCAGACCUCAACAAAGUCAAGCCAUCUACCUGGUGACCACUUCUAAAUGUGCUAAUCCCUUAGCGUCAGCAAAGCACCAAAGAUUUGUCUCCUCAAGAGAAGUUCUAAUCACAAACUGAGUGUUAGGAUUGGCUCCAUUGAAAACACAGUUGUUACGAUGUUUCCACAACAUCCAAGCCCCCAAAAUAAUCAGCAAAUUCAAACCUUGCUUCACUUGCUCAGGGUCAGGGAACAAAGCGAUAACUCUCAUCCACCAAUCAAAGAAUCCCUUAUCACCAGGGGAUGGAGAGACGUCUGGUCAUCUGUAGCGGCAAAGAGUAGUGACCAAACUGUUCUAGAGAACACACAACUAGCCAAUCUAUGAUCAAUCUAAUCCUCCUGUUCACACAAGGGACAUUUCACCAGACGAGGUAGUCCUUUGUGAGCCAAUCUGUCCACUAUCCAACAUCUGUUAUGAGCAACCAAACAAAGGGGGAAAAACAUUUCUUUGGUGCCCAGGUCUUCUAAAUUAACUCCCAAGGUUCAAAUGUUGCUGAUCCAAUAAACAGUGAUUUCUAUGCAGAUUUAGAUGAGUACUGAUCAGAUUCAGUAAAGCACCACCUAUGAACAUCUGAUGCAUCUGGUUGUAGCUCCUCCUUUGGUAACUAAGUCCCACAAUUCCAAAUAUUCAACAAGCGGAGGAACGGUCAAAGCAUCCUGAAUGUCCUGAACCCAAAGAUCCUGACCCAGAGUUUCAUGCAAUGUACGUCUCUUUGCUCGCCUCUUGUUUACUAAGGCAGAAAGGUAAGGAGCAAGAUUAGCACUUUGUUGCCAGCUAUCUGUCCAAAAUAAAGUAUAUUUUCCAUUGCCCACAAGUGAAAUAAUUGUCACAGAGAAGAAAGUUUUCACAGAGUGAAGUCAUAUCUGGAAUUGAGCCCAAGGUUUAUGAGGCUGUGGUUUGGCCAUCCAGAGCCACCUUAGUCUCAACUCCCAACCAAUAUGUCUGAGAUCAUGUAGCCCAAGCCCUCCCCAUUGCCCACAAGUGAAAUAAUUGUCACAGAGAAGAAAGCUUUCACAGAGUGAAGUCAUAUCUGGAAUUGAGCCCAAGGUUUAUGAGGCUGUGGUUUGGCUAUCCAGAGCCACCUUAGUCUCAACUCCCAACCAAUAUGUCUGAGAUCAUGUAGCCCAAGCCCUCCCAGGUUGGGCAUACAAACUUUUGGCCAAGUGAUUAAGCAAUGUCCACCGUUGGUCACUCUUCUUCCCCUCCAAAGAAAAUUCCUACUGAUUUUUAUCAAUCUCUUUCAUGGCCAAUGGAGGGAGGUCCAUGGAAUACAAAAAUAGAUCACCAUUGAAGGCAACACAUGUUUAACCAGAACCAACCUGCCCUCUUUAUUCAUCGGACUCGCGGGUGAGAGAGGGAGGGAGAGGGGGAGGGGGUGCAGCAUCCCCCUCGCUCGCUGCCCAUUGUGUGAUCAAGAGAGUGAAACAAUUAAUGACCUUUUGGUAGCAUCUGUUUUCUCUUGGCAGUUUUGGUUUGGGUUGCUACAAAGGGUGGGGCUCCAUAACCUCCCCUCAACCAGGAAUCUUCCCUCGAUGGCUGGUGGUGUAAAAUUAAUGAGCAGGUGGAUGGGCAGAUUCGACAAGGUCUAAACUCUAUUUUAAUUUUCGGAGCUUGGACCAUUCAGAAACAUUGUAAUUGCUGUUUUUUAUGGAGCCUCAACAAAUCUUGAUAGCAUCACUGUUGGCCGUUGAGGAGAUGAGAUUAUGGGGCUUGGCAGGGGCUAAGGGCAUUGUUUUUUUUAAUGAACUGGCACAGUGCCUGUUUCUAUUAAUAAAGCAGAAAUUACAUGCAAGUAACCCUGGAAGGCUACCUACAGGAAAAAACAGAAAAAACAACACCAACAACGACAGCAACAACACGCGCCGCACAAAGCAUGGUGCCACAACUAAAUAGCAUCUCUUGCCACUGCAACAAUGCACCACUGCAAACAGAAGCCAACCAUCGAAACUGUAAGCCACCAACGCCAAAUUGUCUGCCGGACACCUGACAAGCCACUGCCACGCAGGACCAACGUCACCUCGACGAAGUUGCCCUCAAUCCACCUGUAGGUGGAUGUCUAAAACUCCAGUUGUGACUCCGUAUUGUUGGAGACUGAGAGAGACAGGCCACACCGCAAGAAGGUAGCCGUCACGUGGCCCUUCGCCAAAGUGUCGCUGCAGCACCACACCCAACCAACAGGAUGAUUCCACUAGAUCCAGAUCCCUCCGAUGUUGCAGUAGUCAGCAUGAAAACAGAACGCUCAGGGGCGUCGCCACAUCCGCUGUUGGACUCCAAAUCCCACUCUCGUCACCUCCAAUGACAACAUGCAGGGGUCUCACCACAUCUGCUGCUGGACUCCAUGCCAUAGAUCCAUUCUUGUAUUGCCAUCAAAUGGGGUGUGCAAUGCUGCUCCAUAACUCAAAGGUCUCUUCCAAAAGCCAAGUCAGUACUAAAAUCUUGACACAAGCACACAGCCCUUUCCCCCGCACUGCCAAGCCAAGAAAAUGCUUGUGCCGUCUUUCAGCGAUGUCGAACAACCCCGGUAAACCAGGGCUACCCGCCAGUCCACUGCAAGCCAAGUAGUCACACUAGUGUUGGCAAUGGGUAAAUCCCCAUCGGGUAUGAACUCCCCAGACCCAUCCCCGUGACAACAAUAUGACACCACGGGUAUCCCCAUAUACAGUGAUGGGUGGGAGAAUUUCUCCAGACCCAUACCCGGGUGGGUAAAUUAGACCCAGCGGGUCACCCAUACCCGCCAAACAUCAACAAUUCACAAGCACCAGUCACGUAGUAGCAAUUCACAAGCAUCGUCACAUAGCCAUUCACAAGCAUCGUCACAUAGCCACCCCACCAUAUACCUAGCAAAUAGCAACAUAAUAAUUUCUGCUGCAACCACUAGUCACAACACCAUAAUAGUUCAUUGUCCAUACAAAUCACGUAGUAGAGAGUAGUACUUUGCUAGCACUACAUAGGGUUUCAAUGUAUGGGCUGCCGGUGGACUGGUGGCUGGUGGGCUUCUUUAGUUUUAGGCUGGGUAUUUUUCACCCAUGGGUAAAUGGGUAUGGGGACUACUAGAACGUCCCCAUACCCGCGUACCCAACCAAUGGGUAAAGGGUUUGCUCCGUUUAUGUACCCAUGGGUACUGGUUUCACUCCAUAUUGAUACCCUAAUAGAGUAAAUACCCAUCGGGUCGCGGGUCGUGGGCCCCCAUUGACAUCUUUAAGUCACACGCCGUCGAUGCUGCAUGUGCCGUCUUCUUGACAAUGUUCAGCACCGCACCGGUCGCUGCAGUGCAGGUACAAUCACUGCGGUCCGCUGCUAACAGCCACCAGACAGCACGCGACAACUCUGUGGCCAUCUGCCCGGUUGUUGAUUGCCGAUGCUCACCACCGCUCGUGGGCGGCUAAAAUGCCGCCACCAUCUCCAAGAUACCGAAGCGCAGCCCUCACAUGAAGCCAAAUCUCUGUGCCUCCACGCCAGCUGCAGUCGACCCUGGCAGCACUUCAGCGCCACUGCUUCUCAUGGAGGGACUCUUCCAGGCCUCAAGCACACCGUUGAACCAUCUCUUGCACGACCACCACGCCAGCGCGUGAACACACAGUAGCACGGCCACCGCACCUGCCAUACGCCACCACGCACGGCCACAUCAUGUCAUCACCUUCGAGAUCGGGCCUAUGCUCGCAUCUCCGGUCAUCAAAGGCAGUCACUGCCCAGAUCUGAACUGGCGAGUUGCCGGUCGUCACGUGGCAAGUGCGCAGCAGCCACCGCGGAGACCAUUGUGUUCCUCCAGGCAGAUCUUGGAGUUCUGCACGGAGUUGAGCAGGCGCAAAUCUGGACCUGGGAAUGCCAGAGCUGGCGCCAUUGCUCCUCGGGCCAGGACGGAAGAGAGAGAAGUGAAUCCCCGCCACCACCCGCUCCAUCCUCACCAUGCUGCAACGUCUCCAUGCGCUGCGACACCUGCGUCGAUGCGCAUGUGCUGCACUGGCUGAUUCGCCUUGCUGUCGCCUUCAUCACGGGCACCGACCUUCCGGUGAGCCACUCUAGCGAUGGCAAGGAGACUAUGGAGGUGGGAGACCGCCACGUGGCGGCGGCGGAGAGCCCCUAAGCCGCCUUGCAGGGGCGACGUGGGGGGAGCGUUGUAUCCUGUUGAGAAUACAAUUGUCCUUUUUCUAAGGGCAUUGCUUACCUAGCUGCCUUGUCUCAUGGGAGAAGUUAAAGGUGUUUGUCCUCCUGGCCAUGGUAGUGUUAUGUGGUGUGCCAUGGGCAUAGCUAUCUGAGAGUUUUUCUUCUUAAUAUGAUACGCUGCUCUCCUGUGCGUUCAAGGAAAAAAGUCGGCCUUCCAACCAAGAAGUUGAUCCGCAAUGGGAUCAAUGAUUGGAUGGAAUUAUGCUCUGGUAAGCUUUGUGUUGACCAUUUAGUUCAGGCAUCUUGUGCCGGUUCUUUAUGCUCAAUGUGGUUUCUAUAUAUUGCACUGACUGGUCAACUUUUUUAAAAAUAAUGCAUUCAUGGUGUAAAAGUUUUUUUAGUUUUCAUUUGUUUUUACCUUGUAAAAGUUAUCUAUGUUGACAAAUUAGGGUGACAUGUGGAUGCAUCAUUACCUUGCAAAAGGAAUAAUUGAUGUGAUGUAAGGAUUUCUUUUGGAGCUAAAACAGUAAGGGAAGCCCCUACUGUGGUAAAAAAAUAUUUAUAUAAGAAAAGCAAAAGCAAAAAAGCAAACUGGUUUCUAUUGAGCUAUCACUUUGAGCUCUGCUCAUUUCGUUCAGUUUUACCUUUUGCUAGUUCAGUGAUUUGGACAAAUAUACUUGAAUUGCAAUUGCCUUGUGUCUUAUUUGAAGGUCCGACUGGUGGAUACAGAAUGGUGUCAACCUCUGGAGAUAGUAAAAGAAGAUACUAUUGUUAUAGCAAUGAGAAAGCAAGGUGGUACUCAGAAAUUUGUAAAAGCUGAGAUACGUGGCUAUGAGGAAGGUUCAAGGUUCUUGAUUGUAUUCCGCCUGGGGCCUGCAUAUGGACCAAUCAGGUAGUAUGAAAUGGUAAUGACAGCGUCUGGACAUUUGUUUCCCGUUUUUGUGAUUAUGACCAUUGUAUGAUUGUUUGUAGGAUUGAGAAUCGGACGAGUAGUACCACAAUCAGUACUCGUCAGUCUGGUUUAGGGGAGGAUAGUUGGAUCCAAGUGAAGCCACUUGCAACCAGAAAAUAUUCUUGGGAUGACCCAUAUGGACAGAAAGUUAUUGAUGUUAGCGUUGAUAAAGGCGAUGAUACUUGUGUUCUAUGUGUUGACCUGGAAAACCCUAUUGGAAGUUCCACUAGUUUUAGGGAACAUGGCCUCAUGUUUAGUAUUGAGACCAGUGAUAUUAAGAUACUGAAGUUUGCAGAAUACCUAAGGAAAGAGGAAGUAUAUGGAUUGCCUGGAUCUGAACUGACUGAUCACCACGGAUCGGCAUUGAAGGAAAAUGAGACAGAGCCAGGUGCUGGACCCUUGGAGCUUAUUGUUGAACUUGGAGUUGUUGGAAUAUCUUUGAUUGAUCAUAAGCCAAGAGAGCUUUUAUACUUGCAUCUGCAGAAGGUUUUCGUUUCAUACAUGACUGGUUAUGAUUCUGGGACCACUAGCAGGUAUGUAUUUUUUUUCAUCAACAUCAUCUCCAGACAUGUGCUGGUCUAUUUUUUUUUUCUUCCAUAUGCAAAAGAAAUGCCUUCCAUCAUUGGGAGGAACUGGGAACUUUGAGAUACACUUAGUUCUUCACCAUGUUUUUUUUGCGUUGCACUCAAUCCAUCCCAAAUUACAAGACGUUUGACUUUUUUAACAUCAAGUUUGACCACUUGUCUUAUUCAAAAAGUUGUGUAAAAUAUCACUUCUUUUGUUGUAGCUUGGUUUAUUAAUAAAAUUUUUUCAAGAAUGACUUAAAUUUGACUAUGUUUGCAUAAAUUUUUUGAAUAAGACGAGUGGUCAAACCUGGGCUAAAAAAAGUCAACCGUCUUAUAACUCGGGAUGGAGUAUAAGUUUAUACUCAUUUUUUAAGCCAUUCUUUUGCCCCAAGAAAGGUCAGCUGCUUGGUUUGGCAAAGGACUGCUCCUUCCCAUUUAUUACUAACAUCUUUGGCUGAAUAGUUAGAUGGCAUACCUACGAACAUAGCAUCAGUUUGUCCUAAUGAUAGCACUAUGUUCUUUGCUUUACCUUUUUUUAUACAUAUAACACUUUUCAGGUUUAAAUUAAUUCUUGGCCAGUUGCAACUAGAUAAUCAGUUGCCACUGUCUACAAUGCCUGUUGUUUUAGCUACCGAGAGCAGGCCUGAUUCAAAUCGUCCUGUUUUCAAAGCAAACGUUGCUGUUAGCAAUGUAACUUCUAAUGGCAUUCAAGUUUACCCACAUGUCUAUAUCCGGGUAAUGUUGUUGCUUUGUGUAUUUCAACAUGCAAGUCUAUAUAGUAUCAACCCAUACUUAAAAGAAAUGAAAUCUGUGUUUUAUAUAGGUAACCGAUCAAACAUGGAGACUGAACAUUCAUGAACCUAUUAUUUGGGCACUGGUUGACUUCUACAACAAUCUUCGUUUUGUCACCACCAGCAACAACACAACUGUAACGGAAGUGGAUCCUGAGAUACGAAUAGAGUAAGCUUCAAAUUUACCUCGAAAUUGCCAGAGCAACUAUUAGACUUCCCUAAUUUUGGGACUCUUUUUGCAUCUGAAAUUGUUGUGUUUCCAAUUUGAUGCAUCCUGUCAUUCAUCAGUAACCAGGGCUAUGAUUAGCACUACAGAGAUGAGAGAUGGGCAGGUGUUUCCAUGCAACCAUUUUGUAUUCUUUCACAUUCCAUUUGGUUUGAUAGUUCAUUGUUCAAUUGGUUUGAUGUAUAAGUCUUCUGCAAUGAUAUAAUUCUAUCAGAACUAGCAUCAUACUUUAUGCUGGACUUGUAGGACAAGGAAAUAUGAGUUUGUGUUAGUAAGUCCAUUGGUCCCAUUAUUUUAUUUUUGUUUCUCUGAAUACAACGUGUUCUGGAAACUUGUUCUUUGUUGGCCUAUUGCUACCUAUGAUUAACGGUGUCACUGUAGUUUGUGCAUUCAUUUUGCUUUUACAAAUUGUAGCCAGUACAUUGCAGAAGUACCAUGAGAACAUGUUGCUGACAAUGUGUUUUUUCAAUGUUGUGGAAUUUUUUUAGUAAAUUCAUGUGAUUAUUUUGCAUAAUCAUUGAUAUAUACCACCUUUGUGUCUAGAUGUAACUUAGCUGGAAUACGACAGAACAUAUUUCAUGAAUAAUUGUAUAAUUUGCAGGCUCAUUGAUAUUUCAGAGAUAAGGCUGAAAAUAUCUCUGGAAACUGCGCCUAAUCAAAGACCUCGUGGUGUCCUAGGCAUAUGGAGCCCCGUCCUAUCUGCUGUGGGUAAUGCAUUCAAGAUUCAGGUAACUUAUUCCAAAAUCAGGUUAUUUACGGAACAUCAUGUUUCAUGGACGGUUGGACGAUACCAGACUAACCCAGUUAAAUUUAAUCAGAUUUAUGCCAUUUUCAUCAGAAUCCAAGAAAUUUGAUUUAACUCUGAACCUAUCAAAUUAUGCUAAAAUAUGUUACGUUAUCCCAAACCCCCCCCCCCCCCCAACCCCCUGGCUAAGUUCAGAAUUCUAUGAACCUAGAAUAGGUUCAUUGUUAUCUUCUGUAUCCUUGUUUGUUUUAAGUUAGUGUGUGUGUGGAGCCUGAGUUAGAGAUCUGGUUGUAUGCGGCCUAAGAACUGAGUUCCAUUAUGGUAUUUGGACAAGGUACAAUGUAUGCAGCAUUAAUUCAAGUGGAAUUCCUGAAAAGAAUGUCUAACUAGUGCACUGCCCUAAAUACCAAUGAUACUCAAAGGCAAGGUUUUAAAUGGCAGGCUAUGCUAUUUAGCGGCAGCCUCCCCCAGGAGCUAUAAAAUGCUAUAUUGGUUUCUAUCGAAAGCUUCAUUUAGCGGUUUUAUAGAAAAUUUGAAAAUUCUUAAUUAAUUAUGCAGAAAACAUGUAACUAAGGAAAUUUCAUGAACACAUAUGCUCAAAUACAUCUCCAAAACUUAAAAAAACCUCGAUCUGCAGGGGAUAAGACAGUCCCCGGACAUUUUUCUUAAGAAGGCCUUCUCAUGCAGGUCGAGAGAACUUGACAUACAUUGGAAUCUUGGUGCAGAUUUCUUUCAAAUGAUAACCCAGGCUAAGCAGCAGUUCUCGAGCACUUUCUUCAUGGAAAUCUUCAUCAUUGGAGCCUGGCAGAUAUGGAAACAAAGAAACAAUUUUAUCUUUGACCGAGGACGUCCCUCCCUUGUCUCUUGGAAACAAAAUAUUUUGGAGGAAGCUAGAUUGCAGGCCCAUAGACUUUGUGAUUCAAAAACAGCAACCUUUCUGUCCUCUUUAGGACUCCAAGGCUGACUCCCUCCUGCUGUUCUCUUCUUUCCCUCUCUUUCUGUACAGUUAUACAGCCUAUAGUGUCAAGUGCCUUGGCACCUAACGACGCAGGACCGUGACUCCGUAACUCGUAGUUGCGCUCCAGUCCUCACCGCGAGGUUUUGCCCCUCUGCUGGUGGCUUACGGGAAUAGAUGAAGAUAGAUUGAUAAUUGUUCUUGCUUGAUUAUAUCAAUAGAGUCUACAGAUAUUUAUGUCCCUCACCUCUUUUGCUAAAUAACCUAUUUGGGACUAAUAUAAAUUGCAAAUACAAAGAUAACUAAACUUAUAAAGAUAACUAGGCCAAACUAUCAGCCCGCCGGCCAUAACAAUUUAGCCACUAGUCGGUUGGGCAUCCUCCUCCCGCGCCAGAUGGGCCCUGGCCGCGGCUCGCUCAGCUGCCCUGCGCACAUCGCGGGCGCGCCGCCUUCUGGUGUAGGGAAUGCCACACAUGACAUCUCUCCCCUCCUCGAGGUCCAGCUCGUCCUCGAGCUGAAAGUCUGGAAACUGCUCACGGAACGCGUCGACGUCUUCCCAUGUGGCCGACUCUGGAGGUUCGCCGCGCCAGUGGACAAGCAGCUGGCGAACGCCAUGCGCCAAGCGAGUACACUCGACCCAGGCCGGCUCUGGAGCCACCAUGCCAUGGUGGAUGUGUGGCAGUACCAGCGGAGCUGCUGGAGGGGCGCCUGCGAACUUCUUGAGGGCACCUUGUUGGAAUAUAAGUGAAUUGCCCACCUCUCUCCAUCAGCUUAAGCUUUUGGGUUGAACUGGUUGGUGCAUGCAACUCAAAUGGUAUCAAAGCUAGAGGUCUCGAGUUCGAAUCCUGGUUAGCGCAAUUAAAUAAAAUAAUUGCUGCUCGCUCCUAUUCCACGUCUGAGGCCUGAGGGAGCCUCCACGUGAGGGGGAGUGUUGGAAUAUAAGUGAAUUGCCCACCUCUCUCCAUCAGCUUAAGCUUUUAGGUUGAACUGGUUGGUGUAUGCAACUCAAUACACCCACAUGGAACACAUCAUGGAUGCGGGCCUGCGGGGGAAGCUUCAAGCGCACAGCAACGUCGUUGAUGAGCUCACUGACGCGGUAUGGCACCUGAGGGCACAGGUUUACAGCCAACCAAACAGAUAACCAAAACAAAAUACGGUUUAGACUAAACAUGGGCCCGUUCGCCAUGUGCAGGAUUCUAGAGCAUGUCUGCAUGCAUUCACAGCCAUUCUAUCAAUCAACAUACUCGUGGCUAAUAACCAACAUUAAUAUUCAUUCAACAUUCAACUUUGACAACUCAAUAAUUAUUCAAUAGUUCAUUACCUCAUUAUUAAUUAAAAAACACAUAGUGUGUUAUAGUCAUCUAGAGUAAAGAAUGAAUACCUUAGCGGUAAAACAACUCUUGGUUGGCUAUGUUAGUUUUCAUUGGACCUAGAGAAGUCACCCUGGUGCUAAUAACAGAGGCAAUUCUGCAUUGGUUGGAGUGCUUAAUGAUAGUUGCUAAAUGAGAAUAAGUUUGUUCUUUCUUUGCAUGUCUUCCUGAAAUUUCAAUUCUCAGAAGUUACCAUCAUUUAUUUCAUAUUGCGAUAAAAACUCUUGGGUAGCUUUAUUGUUAUUUUUUUAUAGGAGAUAUAUACUCAGAUCCAUGAACUGUAGUUCGUAGUUUCAUCCCUGAUAUUUUUCCUUAGGUGCAUCUGCGGAAGGUCAUGCACAGAAGCCGUUUUAUGCGAAAGAGCUCCAUCAUCCCUGCUAUCAUGAACCGAAUCAAGAGAGAUCUGAUUCACAAUCCACUGCAUCUAAUCUUCUCUGUGGAUUUUCUUGGAGUGACAAAAUCAACUUUAUCAUCACUUAGUAAAGGAUUUGCAGAGCUCUCUACUGAUGGGCAAUUUCUUCAGCUGAGAUCAAAGCAGGUGCAAUAGCUUGUGGUUUUUUGUCCUUGUUUAUGUUCACUUCUUUAAACACUUACAUGGAAUGUGAUUCAGGUUUGGUCAAGGAGAAUCACUGGUCUUGGUGAUGGGCUAGUUCAAGGGACUGAAGCAUUUGCUCAGGGUUUGGCUUUUGGGGUUUCUGGUGUUUUAAGAAAGCCAGUUGAGAGUGCCAGACAGUAUGGUGUUGUAGGCAUUGCACCUGGUAUUGGCCGUGCUUUUGUGGGUUUCAUUGUACAACCUUUAAGUGGGGCUCUGGAUUUUUUUUCACUGACGGUUGAUGGAAUUAGUGCGAGUUUUAUGAGAUGUGUCAACAUUUUAAGUAACAAAUCUGUUCCGCAGAGGAUAAGAGAUCCUCGCGCUAUCCAUCAAGAUGUUAUAGUAAGAGACUAUGACAAAGUUGAAGCUGCUGGACAGGUUACAUUGCUUGUUUUCAUAUUGUUUGUUUCUUUUCCUUUUUGCUUUUUGAUGGAAAAAUAACUGUACAAACAGAUUCAUGAUUCCCGGAGUGUAGGUCUCCAGUCUAAUCUCUAUUAAGAAACUCAAAACAAAGUAGUAAUAUAUUGUGAGAAGAGUAAGUUAAAUCUAGUGGAUGAGAUGAAGCAUCCUUGUGAAAUUUCAUACAUGUCAGGAGUUAGGUUCAUCACAGUCAAGCCAGCAUAUCACCCUUAAGCAGUAGCCAACAUCAACAAGCUUGAGACUCACUCCACUAGAUUUACUAGUAAAUCCUAUCUUCAGUCGAAGUUUCCAUACAUGCAGCUGUAUUACGCACAUCACAUGAAUGCUUAUUUACCCAGUAGCAAAUAAUUUGGGCACUUGUUCUAUUUGUUGGUUUUUGAGCACAAAGGAAACAUGGCCACUAUUACGGAAUGGAGGGAGGACACUGAAACGUAUGCUUACAUGCCUUCAAAAUUAUGCUAAAGACUUGAAACGAUCAAAUUAUAGUUUUUGGUUGCUACGUGAGCAGUUGUAAUCAUAUAAUACGUAGUGAUGUACUACAGAUUCAAUCCAGCUUUGUUUUAAUUAGACAAAAGGUUCACCCUUGCUAGAUUGAUCAAACACAGGAUGUUUCCAAAGCAAAAAAAAAUAGUAGAUAGUUGUCACGUUAGUACAGUUCUAGUCAGAUUUUUGGCAUGAUGUACACUUAUUUGAUUACUCUGUUCUGCAGAUGGCCCUUUACCUGGCAGAAGCCAGCAGAUAUUUUGCAUGCACAGAUUUAUUCCGGGAACCUUCGAAGUACGCAUGGUCUGAUUACUAUGAAGACCAUUUUAUUUUACCAAACCAUAGGAUUGCUUUAGUCACUAAUAAGCGGGUGAUGCUGCUUCAGGUAAGGCUUAUUCCUUUCUGAUCGUAUUAUUGUGUUACUUCAGAAGUUUGAUUAGAACUGAUUGUCUUCUUUUGUAGUGCCUGGAUCUAGAUAAAAUGGACAAGAAACCUUCCAAAAUACUUUGGGAUGUUCCUUGGGAAGAAGUACUUGCAUUGGAGCUAGCAAAAGCUGGGUAUCAGAGGCCUUCACAUGUAAUUAUACAUCUGAAGAAUUUUAGGAGGUCAGAGAACUUUGUAAGGCUUAUUAAGUGUAACAUUGAUGACGAACAGCAACCUCAGGCUCUUUCACUUUGCUCUUCAAUUCGGAAAAUGUGGAGAUCUCACCAGGCAGCAAUGAAAGUUAUACCAUUGAAGGUAAUCGCUCCUGUUCUCCUUAAGCUUCUUUUUUUUUCUUUUUUUUUCUUUUUUUUUUUUGUAACCAACUCUCCUGAACUAAACUUGUACUUCUGAACAAAACCAUAAUAGGUUCCAUCAGGCCAGCACCAUGUGUAUUUUGCAUCAGAUGAUGAUAAUAGGGAAUCCCACAGUCUAUGUAGGCCUUUGCUAAGCUCGAGAGGAACAUCUACUGAUGUUGAGCAACAACUCAUAAACAAUACAGUUAACUUCCAGAAAAUGUGGAGCAGUGAACCAGAAAUUCAGAGCCGAUGUAAACUAGUUGCCAAACAGGUAAGUCAGCAGAAUCUGAGUGGCUAAAAAGAAGGUAUUUCAGAUGUGUGAUGUAAAAUUAUUGUUGGUGUUUAUUUUAGAUUGCGGACGACGGAAGGGUGUUUAGCAUAUGGAGGCCUCUGUGCCCUAAUGGGUAUGAAUUUUGACAUGGUAUAACCCACUAAUGUAACUGCUUACAUACCGAAGGUACUGAGCCAAUUAUUUCAGGUACAUCUCAAUUGGUGAUGUUGCUCAUGUUGGCACCCAUCCACCACAUUUUGCUGCUGUAUACAAGAACAUCAAUGGGAACUUUGCACUGCCGGUUGGCUAUGACCUGGUCAGUUUUCAAUGAGAUUUUGUGUCAUAUAUGCUUGGCCAGUGUUGAGCUUAUUAUACUGAAAUAAUAUAAUCCUCUGUUACUUUUAUCGUGCAUAAACAGUGACUUUUUUUUAUUUUGGAACACUGUAUGAGGGGGGCAGUCUUGUUGAUAGAUUUUGCUUUCAUGAUUGCCUUGCCUGCAGGUUUGGAGAAACUGUGCUGAGGAUUACAGGAACCCUGUGUCAAUAUGGUUUCCAAGGCCACCGGGGGGAUACGUAUCUCUUGGGUGUGUUGCUGUCCCUUCAUUCGAGGAGCCCCCUCUUGACUGUGCUUUCUGUGUGGAUGAGAGACUCACGGAGGAUGCGGAGUAUGAGGAGCAAAUCGUAUGGGCAUCAUCUGAUGCUUACCCAUGGGGAUGCUAUAUCUACCAAGUUCAGAGCGCCUCACUGCAUUUCAUGGCACUUCGUGUCCCAAAAGAAAAAUCUGAGCAAAGGCCCAAGAAGAUGUUGGAGUCAUUAUUUGUGCAGCGAGCAUCAGAGACUCCAUGUCAAGACAAGCAAACGUGCCGUGCAUGAAGAAGGUGUACAUAAUACAUAUACGUGCGUGGAAGAAACUCGACUGGGACAAAGGACUGAGAGUCUCGUGCAAGAAAGCUCGAAGAAAGCCGCUGCUUUCGGACCACUGCAUUUCUCCGUGGUCAAAGCAUACACAGAGCCUUGCAUCCCAACACUUUAGUUGGCAGCAAGUUUUGUAAACUAGAGUAGUAGGUUGAAAGUUGUAAAUAUAAAAUAUUGUAACGUUUGGUAUAGUUUUUGUCCAGCAUUACAUGAUAAUAGAAAUGUUCGGAUGGAUAAUUAUCACGCAUUGUGUCUGUGAUUUGCGCUCUUAAAAUGUUACUCUCUUAAUUUCAAUUUGUAAAUUAUUUUGAUUUUUAUUUUGUUAUGUAUCUAGAUAUGAUGUACUAUGUCUAAAUAUAUAGCAAAAUCUAUAUAUAAAAAAACAAAUGACUUAUAGUUUAGAAGAGAUGGACUAUAUGGCAAAAUUUAUAUAUAAAAAAAAUAAAAUUUAUAUAUAAAAAAAUUAAAACAACUUAUAAUUUAGAAUGAGACAAUACUUCAUCCUAUAUAUUCGACAUGUAACGUGUUAUUUAUUAUUCUCUCCAUUUUCAAAUUCAAAUUGUAAGUCAAUCUUGAAAAGUCAAAACACCUCAAGUUUAACCAAAAUUAGAAAAAAUUAAAAAGAUUUAUAACAUUAAAUAGAUAUACUAUAAAAAUAUAAUUAAUAAAGAAUCUAAUAAUAAUCCGAUAUCAUAAAUAUUAUUAUUUUAUUAUAUAGAUUUGGUUAAACUUGAAACCCUUUGACUCUCUUGAAAUGACUUAUAAUUUAGGGGAUGGAGAGAGUAUUCUCCUGUCAACAUAGAGGAGAAUCUUACACCUUGUUUGUUAUUUGUUUGAACUUAUCAGUUGAAUCUGUGUUUUUUUUUUAUAAUAAAUUAGCCAACACUGCUUUCUGUCAUGGCUUAUCAGCCAAACAAACAUAUAAUCUUCAGCUUCUCUCUUACCGCUGGCUCGAAGAUUGUUAACCCCGUUUUCUUACCCAUGGAGUAAAAUUAAAUCCCUUGCAAAUUUAUUGGUUGUCUAAAAGCUUUUUGUAACAUGCCGGGUUGCCGGCGGAAGUACCCGCACACAUCCUGGAAGAGGAAGCACUGCUACUGCGUGUGCACCCUCACCUCACUGUCGCGCCCACCGUCACGAAUCCAGGGCAAACUCCCGGUGGAGCAAGAUUUUUUAACAGGAACUUGCUGGAGAUAAGCACGCGGCACGUAGGGCGCCCGAUUGACGUGCCACAUCACGUAAGGCGCUCCCGUCCCGUGCCUCCGUUUCGGAUGAGAUCUGGCGAUGGAUCGUCCGUCUGUCAUCUCGCAUGCAUGCACGCAGGAACGUCGAACGCACGCGCACCUCUGAAUUGAAGCGCAGGUCCGGCACGCAACGCCGCUGUGUGGACCGACGGGGACGGGGACACGGCCGGUGGUUGUGGUCCACGGCGAGGCGGACACCCGAGGGAGACACAAGACCGUGACGCGGACACGAUCCGAUGGGGACUUGAAAAGCAGACUGCCGCUCGUGCCUGAAUUCUCAUCGAGCGAAGAAAAUAUCAGGUACUGGAGAGAUAUUUCAGCGGAAGCGCAAAUUGACUGAAAUUGUUAGCUACCCACAGUUUCAAAUGCCCGUGUAUUUCUUCUUCUUUUUUAGUGGAGGGAGUUACUAGUUUCCUUUGUUCCAAGAGGAAAGCUAGCUUGUCAAAGGGGCCGUGACCAAGCAGCAUGCCAGUGGUGACAUCAGCAGCAAGCAGCAGCCAAGCACUUGGGACCAUGGCCAGGCUUCUCAAAAAAAAGUCACAAGCACUUUAGAUGAUGAAGCGGACGCAACAGAGGAGAAUAGUCGGUGUGUGGAGGUGGAACCAUAGCCACAAGCGCGGCCCGGCCGAAGGGGCCCAAAAGGUCACCGGCGCCGGUGGCCCGCCGGGGGCCAAAUUUAACCUGGCAACGCGAAAAAAGCGCAAAAGAAACAAAAAACCAGCGAAAGCAGCGGGUCGGUCCCGCGCACCCGGCGGCGGUCGGUCCGGUGAACAUGGGGUGGAGAUGCAGCGGCGACGGGGCCGCGCGGAUAAGGCGGCCAUGCGAGCCACGCGUUUGCUCUUGGUGCCCGCGCCUGGCCGUGUCACCACCAGCUCAUCGCCUACGCAGCAGGCAGCACCAGGACCCGCCUCGGGAUCCGGCUCGCCAGUCACCAAACUGCUCCAGUACUGUAGGAUUUGUCGCGUGACCAUAGUCCGUGUAGGAUUUGUCGGUUGGUUUGUUCAUGCAUGGUCAUGUUCACGGCCUGAUUAGAUUAGAGAUAAAAAAAUUUUGGAUGUCACAUUGGAUGUGUCGGAAGGAUGUCGAUAGAGGUUUUUAGAAACUAAUAAAAAAAUAAAUUACAUAGCUCGUCAGAAAACUAUAAGACAAAUUUAUUAAGCAUAAUUAAUCUGUUAUUAGCAUAUGUGAGUUACUGUAGCACUUAAGCCUAAUCAUGGAGUAACUAGACUUAAAAGAUUCGUCUCGCGAUUCUCAACUAAACUGUGUAAUUAGUUUAUUUUUUUAUCUACAUUUAAUGUUCCAUGUAUGUGUCCAAAGAUUCGAUGGGAUGGAUGAAAAAUUUUUAGAUGGGGGACUAAACAGGGCCUCAACGUUAACAACCAUUUCUGCAGUAGUAGUAUUUACUUCGAUUAUCUACUCUUUUUAUACUAUUAAUUGAUCAGUUGAUCAAGUUGACCGGUGCCAGGCAUCGCGGAUCCGAUUGGAUUGGAUCUUGGAAGGAGAGCGUGGGAGACGGUUGUGACGACUUGCCCUUGAUCUACCGACGGAUGUGAUCUUGGCACCUACUUUUUCUUCUAUCUAUUUUUCCUUGUUGAUGAGUUCAUGUCAAAACAUGAAAUAACUUACGAGAAAUGAGGUCUAUAAAUGUGACCUAGGCCAAAAAAAAUCUAGUUGGAACACUAGCCACAAGAUAGAUCAGAAGUGAAAAAACCACACAAAAGCAAAAAAAAAUGCUAUCUCAGAAGUUAUGGUAAAGCAAAGAGCACAAAUUAUAUAAUUACUUUUAUUUUCUUUUUUUCCAACUCCAACACAAAUACUGCUAAUCGGCCUUGGCUUCAUCUAAAUACAGGGGCGGAGCCAUAGCUGCCCUAAAUAUAGAUUUCCAGAUGGCACGCGGCCCGUUGGCACGGCCCAAGGCACGAAGAUUUGGCCCGGCACGGGCACGGCCCGGCCCGGUGAUCGACGGGCCCGUGCCGGCACGGCCCAAGGCAGUGGGACGUGCCUGGGCCGCCACCUCGGCCCAAGGCACGGCACGGGCACGGCCCGAAUCAAGCAGUGGCACGAUGGCGGCCCGAUGACCCCCAACGGCUAUUUCAGCCCACCAGAGGUCCAGCACUCCAGCCCACCAGGCCACCACCCCGCCCCGCCCGCUUGCAUAUAUAAGCGCUCACCCAGGGGUGGAGCUCAACCCUAACCCUAAUUUCCCAUUCCCCAUCCCCACAGCGCCGCAGCCGCUCUCUUCGUCCCAUCGAUCGACUCAUUCGCUCUGCUCCGGCCUCCGCUCCGUCUUCCUCGAUCUCCCUCUUCCGACCGCCGACCGCCGGCCAGGGCCACCACUAGCCUUGUCGCAGAUCCCGCUUGGCUCCACGACGCCGCUCGCCGCUUGCCUGAGUUGCCUUACCCUCUCACUCUCCUCCCUCCUUUCCCCUCUCCACUCCUCUAUCUCCUCUGGUGAAGCAUGUGAGUUCAUCUUCCUCACUCAGCCGCUGCUCGCUGUUGUCUCUAAUGGAUGUCUAUCUCUGUCUCGUGUCUCAUCUUGACUCGUCGACCGCUUGUCCUCCGGCACCGGGCUCCGGUAACGCAGGUGCACUGUCUAAACCCUAGAUCUGCUCUGCUGUCUUACUCUCUCAAUCUCUCAGUCUCGGUUCUCAUCUUUAUUUGUUCUUUCUUCUUUGUCUUUGCAGGUUCGUGCCUGACGCCGCGUCCUCCUCCUCUGGAGUAGUGGACAUGGCCAGGCCGCCAAAGCGCCCGUCGAGGGGCGGUGCUGGAGGUCUGGUGGGUCCAGGUCAUGCUCAGCCAUCGAAGUCCAGUGCUGGUGCAGGGCUCGCAACGCGAGGGGCGGAUCUGCAUCCCCCCCUCGACGACGGCGAGGACCUAGCGCCGCAUCCGGACGAGGUCGAGGAUAUGGAAGCCGAACUCGAGAACGAUGACGACUUGCGUGAAGACGCUCGUGAGUUCUUCGGCAUCGACCUCGGUGACCAACAACCGCCCAUCAUCAACCUCGAUGGGGAUGGGGACGACGACGGUGGCGUGGCUGCUUCAACUGACACUCGUGGUACUUCAACCACGGGCACUGGUAAGCGCAAGUCUAUUGUGUGGACUUACUUUGAUGAGAUCAAGGAUGAGAAUGGGCUACGAUCCUGGUGCCGUAUGCAAACACUGUCGUUCUCGGUAUUCUGCUAGAUCCACGGGGGGCACUGGGCAUUUCAGGCGGCACAUGAGAACCUGCAUGAAAAAAUAAAAACAUGCAACUAUGGUUCAAUCUAAACUUGCACUUAACGCUGAUGGCUUGAAAAACUGGGUGUAUGAUCCUGUUGUUGCUCGCACUGAGUUGUGUAGGCUGAUAGUUAAGUUAGACCUUCCCUUAGGCAUUGGUGAUACUCAGGCCUGGGAAGAUUAUAUCAAGCGUGCUCAUAACCCUUUGUUCGAGCGGGUCUCUAGGCAGUCCACAACUAGGGAUCUUGGCAAGUUGUUUGCUGAUGAACGGUCUUUGCUUAUGAAUUCUUUGUUGCCUACUUGUUCAUCUGUGUCUAUCACAUCUGACAUUUGGUCUGGUAAUGCUAAAGAAGAUUACAUAUCUGUUAUUGCUCAUUAUGUUUCUGCUGAUUGGGAGUUGCAGAAGAAGGUUAUUGGGUUUAGGCUGAUUGAAGUGAAACAUACUAGUGAAAACAUAGCUGAUAGAAUAUGUUCUAUGCUUGAAGAGUUUAAUUUGAUGGAUAAGACCUUUGCUAUAACUCUUGAUAAUGCCUCUGCUAAUACUAGGGCUUUUGAGAUUUUGCAACCUUGCUUGUUUGGUUACAUGGGUUCUUAUCCUGCACCUACACGUGAAGAACCUCAUAAAGUUAACUAUUUGUUUGUGCAUCAGCGUUGUACUUGUCAUAUUAUUAAUCUGAUUGUUAAGACUGGUUUGAAGAGGACUAAUCCUUAUCUUGAAGCAUUUAGAACUGCAAUAAACUUCUUGAAUUCCUCUAAUCAGAGAAUUGCACUGUUCAAAAGCUAUUGCAUUUCUAAAGGCUUAAGACCUAGAAAGUUUGGCUUGGAUAUGGAUGUUAGGUGGAAUUCCACCUAUCUAAUGCUUAAGCAUUUGGUGCCUUACAAGGAAGUCUUUUCUGUGUGGAUCACCACUAAUCAUGGUGAGAACUUGUUGACUAGAGAUCAUUGGAUUGUUGCUGAACACAUGUUGAAAUUCCUGGAAGUGUUUUAUGAUGCCACUCUUGUUCUGUCUAGUGUUUAUUAUCCAACUGCUCCACUUGUUUUGCAUCAUCUUCUUCACAUUGCUGAGCACUUGCAUGAGGCUGAGAAUGAUGCAAAUUUCAGAAAUAUUGCUUCUCCUAUGAAGCUUAAAUUUCUGAAAUAUUGGGAGAAAAUUCCAUUGAUCUAUUCAUAUGCAUUCAUCCUUGAUCCUAGAGGUAAAUGGAAGGGCUUUGUUAAUGUGCUUGGCUUGCUCGCUGAGAGUACUGGUGUCUCUUAUACUCUGUACUGUGGUGAUGUUAAAGAUGAGAUGUCCAGGCUAUUUGGCAAGUAUGAGGAGAAAUUUGGUGGUGCAAGUAGGUCUCAAAGGGUUGCAAUGCCCUCAGCCUGUCCUGGUAAGAAUAAGCAGGUAUGGGGAAGGAUCUAUGGAGGUCCUGGUGCAUCCCCUAGCCUUUCCCCCUCAUGUUCAUCUAGUCCAUCUGCUGCUAGUGAGCUCCAAGCUUACUUGGACAGUGACCCAGUCACUGAUUGGGAUGAGUCAUUUGACAUACUGCUAUGGUGGCGUGACCACAAGCUAACCUAUCCAAUUCUAUCUAUUAUGGCUCGCGAUGUUAUGUCUGUUCCUGUCUCUACUGUCUCUUCGGAGUCUUGUUUCAGCUGUACCUCCAGGAUUCUAGAAGACCAGUGGCGGAGAUUGUUGCCUGAGCAUGUGGAGAUGCUCACCUGCAUCAAGGAUUGGGAGCAAGGAGCAGCAAGAGAACAACAUAAAGCUUAAGACUUUGACCUGGAGGACAAGUUCAAGAACCUCGACCUGGAUGAAGUAGGUGAAGGGAGCGGCAGCAGCACCGGCAGUGGUGGUACUACUGCUGAUACUAAUGCUGGUACUUGAUGGGAGAAAGAAGGAAACUGCCCAGGUAAUGAACUUGUCUUAAAACUCAAAUCAUCACUCAAUUCUGUAUAACAUUUCUUGAUAAUGGAUUCUACACUUUGCAGGCACAUUUUGGUGUCUUGGUGCAAGAAGUCUUUUGGUGCAUCUUGGUGCAAGAAGUCUUUUGGUGCAUGUCUUUUGGUGCAAGUGCAAGAUGUCUGGUGCAAGGACUCUGUAAUAGGAUAGAACUUUCAUAUUUGCCUUGCCACUGAUGCAUUGCCACUGAUGCUGGCUAUUGUAAAUUUGUAAUAGGAUAGUUGAACUAAGACUUUGAACAUUUGAGCUGGCUACACUCUUUUUUCCUUUCUAGGGUUUCUCACAAGGGUGAGUUUUACCUAGAAAGGUUUUUAAUGAGGCAGCAUUGCACAAAACAGCUCCUUUUGAUAAUAUAUUCAUACUAUCUUAUGCUGCCUGAAUUGUGUCUAUAUUGUGCUACCUGAAUUGGCUAAGUUCUGAAUUUGUGUUAGUGUUUGCACUUGUGCUCAACCCUCUCACUUGAACGGGCCACGGGCCAGCCCGGCACGGCAAAAUUGGCCGUGCCCAACGGGCGGCACGGCACGGCCAAAUGGCCCACGGACUGUGCCUUGGGCCGUAGGCCAGGCACGAGCACGAAGGAGGCACGGCCCGUGCGGCACGACGGCCCGCUGAGGCACGACACCGGCACGGGCCAGCACGGCCCGAUGGCCAUCUAUAGCCCUAAACAUCAAGCCAUGGCUAUGGCUAUGUCUGGCAUUAGCAAUGAAGGGUUCCGAUUUGAAGUUGCACACUAUAGCAACCCCACCCCCUUGGGGUUUGUUUCACUGUUGGCGACCGCUCGACCAAGGUGAGAUUUGACGGCGAGUAUAUAAGAGAUGGCUGAUGGGGCAAUUGGUGAGCAUUAAGUUUGCUCCUACUUUGUGUUAGGUGUUCUUUCUUUUAGCCUGGCCCACAACAUAUAAUAAAAAAAAUAUAGAACAGCCCAAUGCGAGAUUCUUGACAAGCCCUUUUCUUCUCUGGUCUCACAUAAAAUAUGUUUGGUGUUGCGACUCUACGAAUACACAAGUUUAUUCCGGUCACCAAGAUGAGGGGAAAAAAAAAGGUGUUCUACUAAGGCUUUAUCGGCAUAGCUGAGGUGAAUGCUCACAUCACCUACAAAGUGGAUCCGCCGUUGAGUGCAACUAAUUUUUUUUUUAGAAAAAGGAAUCUCUAUUUCGGUCUCUACAAGAGUUUUGCACACAAACCAUUCAUUAUUACAAAGUUCAAACUCUAACAAAAAAAAAGGAGCUCUGAAAAAGCAAGCGAAGCAAAGGAUGCAAAAGAGCCAAACGACGAGCUAAGCUCUGAGCCUAUGAAAAGACAGCUAUUCAUUUUUAGCAAAGAUCUUCAUUGUUGUAGUCUCCAAUAGUCGACAUACCAACUUCAAAUGGAUUACUCGUCCUCCUUCUGAAGGGUGGACCAAAGACUUCCAAAAAGGUCACCAUGAAAAUAACUUGUAAAUAAGUGCGUAACAUUUUUCUAUAAAAAAAUACAUCAUUUCUUGUCAAUCAUAUAGACCAAAAUAUUGCACUUGCUCCUACUCGAAGUUUAGUGCAACUAUACUUAUGUUUUUUUGUUGAAACAUUUAUGGUUAUUUAUUAAUGUCGGAUGACAUUUUUAUAUUGGCUCUAAUAAGAAAGUGAGCCUAACAAUUGUUUGGGGUAGGACUUAGGAGGUAACCGUUCAAAUUUGGAUCCUCUUUUAACUCAAAUCCUCUUUGACGUAGCACCUUAAUUACUUACAGCCUGAUACCACCGUGCAUUAACCCAUCUGAUAAAAACAUGGGCAACUGAGCAAAUGUGAGCGAUUGUAACUGUACAGCAGUAGUGACUAGAGAUGAAAACGGUAAGAAUAUUUUCCGACCGUAUUCGAGACUGAAUUCGUUUAGAGAGGUUCAGAUCUGUCCGUAUCCGAGUCCGAAUAUUCAAUAUCCGAUACCGUAUCCGUAUCCGAAUACUUAAAUCGUAUAUUUAUGAUGUCAACAUCCAAUUGUAUUUUAUCUGAUAUGAUUGACAUUAUUCGUAUUCAAAUUCGAAUUCAACCAAAAAUAUAAAAACAAAUAUAAUAUCAGUAAUAUCCAUUUGUAUCCGAUCCGUUUUCAUCCCAUGACAGAUUCGAUAGGACCACAGGGAGAACGGACGGACGAGAUGGUAGCACCUGAGCAGGCCCUGCUGGUAGGGGCGUCUAGGUGCGUCCGCUGUCCGCGUCUAUGCUGACUCAGACUCGCGUUAGGCUGUUGGUCCGCAAACAAAAGGCGCAAGCUUCCAACACCGGCCAUGUACCAAACACCAGCGGUGCGCCGAUAGAGGCCAAGGCUUUGUUUAUUUCUAAAAAAAAUUAAGAUUUCUCAUCAUUACGACACAUAGAUAGAACAUUAAAUAUAAAUAAAAAAUUAUCUAAUUAUAUAAUUUCUCUAUAAUUUAGAAGACAAAUCUUUUAAAUCUAAUUAGUAUAUAAUUAAAUAAUAAUUAUUAAAUAUAAACAAAAAUACUAUAAUAACUAAAUCUAAAAUUUUUCGUAAACUAAACAAUGACUACAACCACAGAACCCAGCUCGCUGGUCGCGCUUGGACCGGACCGCCGGCGGCCUCACGGCCCGUCGGAACCGCGGUUUGAACACGUCAACCCGCGCGCCACGUCGGCCUCCCGCUUCGAGGUCCAGUCCAGGGCAGAUAAUACUUUUCUUAUCCGUUUCCAUGGCCUUGCAUGCUCUCGCAGCCAAGUGUAAGAGAACUGACGUGGCGCGCCUGUCCGUCGACGCGGUGCGCAUCUGACCGACUGACGACCCCGAAUAGGAGUACUCCUAUCUGAUAGCGUCGCGUCGUCGUGUAACUCGUGCUACGCUGAUCACUCACACACACACACUCCUUAAGCCCGCUUUGGCUGGGUGAGUAACAACAACACUGGUUAGCUCAGCUCUUGGACACUCAGUGCCAGUCGGCGUCACACGUCAGCCAUGGCUCGUUGCUUUGUCGCAUUUGUUCUUGUGAACAUGUGGUUGGAUCGCGUUUAUGUCGGACAGGUGUCAGGCAGGGGCAAUUAGCCGCUGCCUGAUGAGACAAAUUAAAUAAAAAUAAUAAUUUGGAUAAGACCACCAGCGGUGCCCAUCAGCCGCAGCAGGCAACGGAACGGACGGCACGGACGGGUAGAUAAAGCUGACGCAAUCAUCAGUCUCCCACUAGGUCGCGUCCACUCGAUUUAGUCCUAAUCCUAGUCGUUAAUUAAUUUGAUUAGGGAUAAGCCGCCCGUGCCAUCCAUGGCCAUCGCCAUCGCCCCCGGCUCCUUCCUCUAUAAAUACAGCUCCCACCGCACGCCGAGACUCUCCUCCCAAUUCCCCUCCCAUUUGCUCAGCCUUCUUCUGCAGACGAGUUUGAAAUUCAUCUUGUUCAAUCAAAUCGUCCUCCUCCUUUCUCUCUCGCCAAGCACAAAGCUUCUCUGCGUUCGUGUUGCAGUUGCAGCCCUGUAUUGUUGAUUGUCUGGUCAGUUCCUCUCCGAUCCAGAGGCAAAGCAAAAGCCGCCAUGGCUCUCACGCUGCGUUCCUCGACGUCGUUCCUGUCGCCCCUGGACCCCACCUCCAAGCUCCUCCACAAGCCCGCCGACGAGGCGCCGCCCUGCUGCGUCGCCAUGCCCCCUGCGCCGCCCAGCCGCAGGCCGCGCGCGCUCAGGGCGUCCGUGGCCGCGGCCGCUGCCGCGGCGCACUCCCCGGCGGCGGCGACGGACCGCGCGCCGGCGGAGGAGCUGCUGCACGGCGGCGGCGGCGCGGGCCAGCAGCACGGGCUGCCGCGCGGCGGGGUGCCGGUGUACGUGAUGCUGCCGCUGGACACGGUGGGGCCCGGCGGCCAGCUGUCGCGGCAGCGCGCCGUGGCGGCCAGUCUCAUGGCGCUGCGGGGCGCCGGGGUGGAGGGCGUCAUGGUGGACGUGUGGUGGGGCGUCGUGGAGCGGGACGGCCCUGGGCGCUACGACUGGGAGGCCUACGCCGAGCUCGUGCGCAUGGUGGAGCGCGCCGGCCUCCGACUCCAGGCCGUCAUGUCCUUCCACCAGUGCGGUGGCAACGUCGGCGACACCUGCAAGUAAGCAUCUCCAUUCCGUACCUUGCUUGCCUGGUUGCCUGGGUUCUGAUAGCUGUAGCAAUCACGCUCAUAAAGCUGCGACGUUGAUUCGUUGCGAGCUGAACUCUUGAUGCUUCAGAGUUCAGAUUUCGUAGUGUGAAAUCUACUGCGACGUUGAAGGUUUUUGAGGAACCAAUUGCUGUUCUUAGCUUCAAAGGUGUAUUAUAAUCUAAAAGCAUAAAGCUCAAACAGGGGGUUACUGGGUUUGGUAGACGGUUACUGUAGUUUCUAGCUUUUCAUUUGUUGGUCCCUUGCACGCAAGGAAUUUGGUAUGUCCCGGUCGGCAAGCAAUCAGAACACUAUAUUACUGUUAGCAAGAGAACAGACACAGAAACGUCCCUAUCACAGGAAUUGAAAGGGGAGUUGUGCCUGAUUAAGUGGUCAUAAUUUGGCAAACCUCUAACCAAGAACACUAAGAUUGUGCAUAUGUUUGUAGUGCUAAACUGCUAACCAACAGAAGCAAAUUGUGCCUGAUUUAUGUUAGUAUAAUUAAUUUUGCAACAGAACAGAUGAAACAAAAACUGAGUAUGCCUAACAAACUUGGAUGAAAAGGGUGAAUGAUUUCUCUGUUGUUGGUACUCUUAAUUGAUUGAUUGAUUGAUUGAUGUUGGUUGCUCUGACGUU